rnacentral:lncRNA from 1 species
UCCAGGCGCAGGCGCAAAGAAUAUUGCGAGGUGCAGUCUAAUGGAUAGGACUGAGGCUCGACUGAAAGGAGAGAAGGCGCAAUGAAAUAUGCGAGGUCCAUAUUUCGACUGAGGAACUGAAACUUCCGCGUAGUGCUUCCCUUGUUCAUUGAUAGUAAUCCUGAAGUUUCUUCUUGGCAUCAAAAUAGAUCAAUGAAAGAGGACUAAAAAUAAGACGAAAGUACUUAUGACGGCUUUCCUUCCAACAAAUCUUCGUUCUUAGUUAUUUGAUUCCACUUUCAACUUUCUGGGAGUUGUCUUCUCCUAGGCUUUCUUCUUUCUGGCAGUCUUCUGCCUUGCCGUAGGGAGUAGGUUCAGGAGAACCAUAACCAUAAAUCAGAGAGACGGAGCAUCAAUCACGCAUAUUCUUUGCACCUCUUCCUUUAAGCUAUAUUUUUUAGGCUCCGGAGGCUCAAAGACAGGGAUAUUGUUGAAUACUAUUGGUUCGAGUCGCAGAGAGCAAAGAAUUUUCUCUUAAUGGAACUUAGCGCGAGUUAAUAUGGAUAGGACUGAGGUCUUAAGACUCCUAACUAUUAAUGGAAAGGACCCACGGAGCGGUGCAAAGAAUAUAUUAGAAGGGCAGACAGGUCCGGAGGACCUGUCUGUCCUUCGUCUUAAUACUCCUAACGUCGAAUAAGAAGCUGGAGGCUGGGUCCAGGUGCAAAGAAUAUUGUGUCCAUUAGAUCCAUUGAAUUAGGCGAAGGAUUUUAUCAAGCUUAGCUUUCUGGAUUCUUCGGCGGAGUGGGGCUUUCUCUAGUAGGUCUGGAGGCUCAAAGAAUGAUCGAAGGCUCCGGACCAUAAAGAAGAGAGUCGGAGGACUUCCAUUGACUUUUUCUUCCUUUCACUUCUAACUUCAAACCUUUCAUAUUCAACCUUGAAAAUAAAGGAGGGAGCGGACUAGAGGCCAUAAGUUUGAGUUCCUCAGAUGUAUAAAAACAAGUCCUCCGCGACGACCUAUCCACUGAAAGUAGCUACGUAGUCUUGUCUCCUUCCCCGCGUAGUGGGCAUUGACUUCUUCAUUGAUUUUCUUCUAUCUCCCACGUAGCGGUUGAAUAUGAAAGGAAGCCCACAGAGCUGAAGAUGGAGCGGGAUAAUAAAGAAGAAAGCUCAAAAGGAGGGAGCGGACCUCAAUGAACAAAGGACUCGUUUUCAUCCUUAUGGAAGAAAAAUCUCUUUUUUUUAUCUAAAAGACGUAGAAGGAGGCUCAAUGUCUAAUCUUUCUCUCAAAUCAAUAUCCCCCAGUGCAAAUAUUCCAGCAAUAUUCUCAAUAUGAAAAGAGCCUUUCUUCUUUUCUUAGAUAAAUGCGCUUCGUAGAUUAUGCUGAAGGAGGAGUGGGCCAUGAUCUUUGCUCCUUAAUUUCCCUAAUGGAUAGUCAUCUGGACCUUUCUUUUUAGUUCUUUGCGCUCGUCAACGCAUAUUUCAUUGCGCCUUCGCCUUCAAUGAAAUCCAUAAAUAAAUAAGGGUAGAUUUCAGACUCAAGAGGAGGGUUCCUUAUCAAUAUCAAUGAGACGGAUAGGCUUUCUUUUACAUUCCACAGGUCCGAAGGACUAUCCAUAUUAACAUGUCUGUCCUUCGCCUAACUAGUUCAUAUAGACCUUUGUUUUUCUUCCGCAGUCACUAAUAUGGAUAGUCCGGAGGACCUCCUUCAGCAUAAUCUAUGAAUGAUCGGAGCAAAGAAUAUUGCGGAAAAGAAGAAAGGAGUGCAAGCGAAAAAUAAUGGAUUGAAUAGUCCUUCGGACGACUACCGCACUUGGGGAUAUUGUUGAGAAAGAAUAUUGAAAAAGAAUGAUCGAAGAAUAUUGAAAAAGGACGGAGGAUAGGCUUUCUUUGAACAAUGUGGAUGUAUCAAAGAUUCCACAGGUUAAUAUGGUAGAUUUCAGACUAGUCCUUCACCUUGGAUCUGGGGACUAUUCUCUGUUCUAAUAGACAGAGGAGAGGUUCAAAGAAUAUUGAGAAUACUCGUGCAAGCGCAAUCAAUGAACAAGGUGAAAAGAACAAAAAAAAAAGGCGGUCGAUGAUCAGGAAGAAAAAGUCAAAAGUCUAUCCCAUCUUCUUCGUUAGGCGCAAAGAAGAAAAAUAAGGUGCAAAGAUCUAUGGCCCAAUUAUAAGGGGUCCAGAUGCACCAUAAGACUGGUCCGAAGGACUAUCCAUAUUAACCGGAGUCUUCAACAAGAUUUCCAACCCUGAAUAUUAAGCUACUGAGGCCCAAUAUUGCGAAGGAAGAACUGCGCCAUAAGACAGGUCCGAAGGACUAUCCAUUAGGGAAUGAGACGGAGGUAAGUUUGGUUUUUUGGAAAACUUGUUGGCGCGAUUAGUGCGUUUUUUUUGGAAAGUAACAAUUCUCUUCAUUUGUUUUCAGAAAACUUGUUGGUCCACGGAUUAGUGCGUUCUGCGCCGCCUGGUGUCUGCAAACAUAUUUUUCCAAAGUGUGUUUACCUUUGGUUAUAUGCUCCGAUUACCCCCAGUUUAUCUCAUCUUUAGUUUGCAUAACUAGUUUAGCUGUUUGCUUUUCAUUAUAGGUCAUAAAGCUUGGGUGUGACGUUUCAGCAUUUUCAUAUGCAAGCCUGCCAGAGAGGAAAAUGUUCAAAAUGUACUAUAGGGGAGGCAUACCAGUUGAAUCCCCGCCCAAGCAUUAGUUGUACUCUUUGCAAGCAACCCUUUUUCCUUGCAAUUGGCAGUCUUUAAUGCUUAUUGUAACGUCUAUUUCAAUGUAUUUCUUUCUUUCCCGUGUUUUAUAAAUAAAAUGUCCCUAAAACGCAAACGAAGGUUACGACAUACAUCGACGUUACCCACAACUCUUGGAUAUUGAUCGACUGACUUGUUCAUCGAGUUAGAACAAGUGCCGCACAAUCGUCCGUCUCGAGGUUGAAACGCUACGAUUGUGACAAGUGGUAUCAGAGCCAAAGUUGGUUGAGUGACAGUUUUGACAAAAAUAAAAUGUCGACUGCAAAACGAGCGAGCAAGACCCAUGAAGAACGGUUGGUGGAGAUCGAAGUGCAGAUGCUCCACCUGAUGGAAGUUCCUGAUUCCAUCCGGUUCUUGGAAUAGCGGCUUGAGGAUAUUGCCAAGAAAGCUGAUGGCAUUGAAGCCGUGUCCGGUCACCUUGACGGACUACCCAUCCAAGAGUUACUGACUAGAGUCGACACUCUAGAGUCCCGAGUUAUGAGAACGGGAAAUGUCACCUACGAGCGUGGGGACAGUUCAUCGGGCUCUGUUGCCCAGAUGGAAGAAAGAGUUAUGGAGCUUGAUAACUCGCAAAAGAACAUGUUGGAGAUGAUGAGCGGCAUGACAAAGGAUUUUCGAGCAACGCUGGAGGAGCCAUUCUUGUGGGCAGAAUCAAGAUUCCUAAGCCCAAGCCCUUCUGUGGGGCGAGAGAUGCCAAGGCGUUGGAAAACUUUAUCUUUGAUGUCGAGCAGUAUUUCAAAGCCUCGAACACAAUUACUGAAGAGGCCAAGGUGACGUUGGCAACCAUGCAUUUGUCAGAAGAUGCGAAGUUAUGGUGGAGGUCCCGAUACAUGGACAUUCAAGAAGGGCAUUGCACAAUCGACACGUGGGAUGCCCUAAAAGGAGAACUCUGUUCGCAAUUUUCCCUGAGAAUGUCGAAAUUCUGGCCCGACAGAAGCUGCAUGAAUUGAAGCACACGGGGAACAUUCAGGACUACGUGAAACAGAUUGUGGGGGUAAUGUUGGAUACACGCGACAUGAUCGAAAAAGAUAAAAUAUUCAGCUUUGUUGAAGGGUUGAAGCCAUGGGCAAGGACUAAGCUAUACGAGCAGAAAGUCCAAGACCUCGUGUCAGCCUAUGCAACAGCUGAACGUUUGUUUGAUCUGUCUAAUGACGUUCAAGAGACAAGACAUCAUUGAAGCUCUUCACCUGGAAGAGACAGAAACAGCCGACUGAAUUCUCCCGAAGCUGUCAGUAGAAAUAAAAGUCCUGGUAGAGACCGCAAGCCCUUCCAGUCAAAUACGGGGAACACCAGGCAAAGGCCCACUAGUCAAAGGACCUCCCACACUCCUAUCAGUUGCUACAUUUGUAACAGGCCACAUCGGACAAGGGAAUGUCCGGAUAAAGCGGCCUUCUACGCCUUCCAGGCCUCUCUGGCUACAGACUUAGGUGACAAGUUGGGUCAACCAGAGAAUGAAGGUGGGUAGGUGGAGGAAGUCCAAAACGUUAGAGUAGGGGCCAUAAGACUUUGUCGUUCCUUCAGAAGAAAGCGGGGGAGACAAGUGGUCGUACAAAAGGGGGCCUAAUAUAUGUGGACACCUGGAUCAACCGAAGGCAUGCAAAGAGCACUAUGGUUGACUCCAGUGCAACCCAUAAUUUUAUAACGGUGGCGGAAGCCAGACGAUUGAACCUUCACUAGAAGAAGGAUACAGAAAAGAUGAAGGCCGUAAAUUCUACAGCUUUACCCGUCGUCGGAGUAGUGAAACGAGCGGUGAUACAGUUGGAAAGAUGGAACGGCCUUGUUGACUUUGUGGUUGUGGGCAUGGAUGACUUUGAUGUAGUUCUCGGAAUGGAAUUCCUUCUCGAACAUCAAGUGAUCAUGAUGCCUGCACCAAAUGUCGGUGAUCACGGGAUCUACCCCCACCGUUAUGCAGAUACCCCCACCAUUAUGCAGAUAGAACUCCGGCAACCCAAAGGAUUGAGAAUGGUCUCGACCAUGCAACUGAGGGCCAUAUUAGGAAGACACAAGGCGUGUCGUGGAGAGACGUUGUGAUGGGAAACAGGAUAGUUUGCCCAUGUCAGAAUCGCCUACGAGAAAUGAUCAUCGUAUGGCGCAAUCAAAAUCAUCUGGACUCAGGAGACAGUCAAUGAGACUGUCAGGUGCAGGAUCCACUAGACCUGCGAGAGAUCCGUAUCAAGCACAAGACUUCUUACGGAAGGAAGAGAAUGGACAAUUGUGUGUCAACAACCGUGUCCUAAAGCAAGCCCCGAGGAGAGGGCCAACUUUUGAGUCCGUGAGUGGGACUCAGCCUGUUGAAGCUUACGCUAAGGCAUAUGGUCCUGUGUCAGGUGGCAUCCUAAUGCAGAAUGGACACCCUAUCACAGCUGAGAGUCAGAAACAAAGUGCCGCAGAAGGUAGUUAUACGAUGUUUGGAAAAGGAAUGCUGACCACGAUACGUAGUCUGAAGGAUGGAAGACAACAUUCCCAGGGGUCUACACAUGGAAGAGAGACGAACAACAUUGCGACCAACCGCUUUGAUACUCGGCCGAAGUGGGCUUUGAGUCAAGAAAAGUGGCAGAGGGACGUGUCAAGGAAUCCUUGCAGAAAAACUCUGUCAUUGAAGUUGAUGUAAGUCUGGCGGAGACCAGUCAGGUGGAAGAAAAGAAUGGAGUUCAAUUGUGGAAGCUAACCCAAUCUUAUGUUAAUGCUGCAAUGAGUUCGUCAAUGGAUGGAAACCAGUUUGUGGGUAUUUGUGGCGGACAUUCUGUACAGUCCCUUGUUGGUCCCUCCUAUGUUGGUAAGAAUCCUCAAGCUUGCAACAGUACCAAGAGGUGGAAGCUGGAGUCAGACAUCGUUCGGACCGAUCGAGAGGAAGCCUCGAAGUGGCCAGAAAAGUGGGCAGAUAAGAAGCAUCGCCUCCGUGUUGGGGGAGACCAGGUCAUCGUCAAACGGCGAUCUGAACUGACUCAGUUUUUGAAGAAGACUUCAAGAUCACCGCCUCGUGAGAGAACGCGAGGGACAAACAGAAGUUCAAGAAGUCCUUGCUAAAGAAGCAAGGAAAAGAAGAAGACCCAUGGGGGGAUACACAAGUUCGUGGUGAAGCAGAGGAGCCUCCUCAUGGAAGAAGCCUGUGGAAGACGUACCAAGACUGUGAAGCGUGGAGGUAGAAGAUCGAAGGAUUCCAGCUUUGCCAGUCGACGGGGACGUCAACUGUUUAAGUGGGGGAGUGUGUCACGGACAUAUUUUUCCAAAGUGUGUUUACCUUUGGUUAUAUGCUCCGAUUACCCCUAGUUUAUCUCAUCUUUAGUUUGCAUAACUAGUUUAGCUGUUUGCUUUUCAUUCUAGGUCAUAAAGCCUUGGUGUGCGUUUCGACAUUUUCAUAUGCAAGCCUGCCAUAGAGGAAAAUGUUCAAAAUGUACUAUAGGGGGGCAUACCAGUUGAAUCCCCGCCCAAGCAUUAGUUAUACUCUUUGCAAGCAACCCUUUUUCCUUGCAAUUGACAGUCUUUAAUGUUUUAUCGUUAUUUCAAUGUAUUUCUUUCUUUCCCGCGUUUUAUAAACAAAAUUUCCCUAAAACGCAAACGAAGGUUACGACAUACAUCGACGUUACCCACAACUCUUGGAUAUUGAUCGGCUUACUUGUUCAUCGAGUUAGAACAAGUGUCGCACAAUCGUCCGUCUCGAGGUUGAAACGCUACGAUUGUGACACCCGGCAGCCACAUAGAAUUGAGAAAAGCCUAUGGUUGAGGCAGCAUUAAUUUAUGAAACUUUACACGUGGGAAGAGAUGACUCUUUCUAUUCAAACCUGUAAACAUAGAAGACCGCCUCAAUGAACAAGGGAUCAUUCACAUAGAAUAAAUAUGAACAACGAGAAAGGGAAUAUAAGGUUUGAAUUCAGAGGAAAGCCUAGCUUGAAUGAACAAGGUGAAAAGAAUAUUGACAGCUGCACUUACGAGUCUUUCAGUUACCUUUCUGCCUCUUUAAAGAGUUCAAGGUUUUCUAUUAUCGGAAGAAUCAGAAUAAGAAGAAAAUAGAGAGAGAAGAGAGCUCAGGAGGCGCAAUGAAAUAUGCGUGAGAAGCGCAUUUCCUUAGUGGAAUACUUUGAUAGCGGAAUAAGAAGUCGGAGGCUCGGUCAAGACGAUCUUUUGAUCUAUUCUAAUGGUUCUAAUGGAUAGUCCUUCGUUUUAGAGUCCUACAGAUAAAUCCUCCGGACUGGUCCGAAGGCUAGGUUCAUACGGAUAGUCAGGACGGUUAGUUGGAGCCUUGUUUUUCGAAAUCUUCUUUGAGCCUCAGUCGUCUCAUUGAUAAGGACAUCUUUGCAAAUGAAGAGCGGGAGGUGCAAAGUGCGGCUAUUACUUUGAAAAGAAUAGGAGCUCCGCGGUUUGAAUUGAAUAAAAAGGAUAGGCUGAAAUUCAAAGUGAAUAAGAGGAUAUUUUCAGACAUAAUAUCUAAAGUCAAUGAACAGGGCUCCUAACCUGAUUUAUGGGGAGCCUACUACGUCCAUUAGUUCCGAACUUGGCUCCACUCCUAGUAGUUCGAACUUGGCUUUGCUCCUUCGCUUUUUCUCUUAUUGAUCUCUCUUGUAAUGCUUUCUACUAAGAAUCAAGAAAGCGCAACUUCUAUUGUUCGAACGACCUUGAUUAAAAAACGAUGCUUCCUUGGUCGUGUAGAACAUGGAUUAGCAUUAUUUCAUUCCUACAAGCGAUCCCCCAUCCAGGAUUGGAAGAAGUGCUAUAUGAGGACUUUGAGAUCAAAUAGAAUAUAUUUCUUUCAAGACCUCGUGAGCCACUUAUUUCUCCGAAACAAGAGAGAAAAGUGAUUUUCCUCCUUUUUCUCAAUAAGUCGACGACCUUACACCAUUGGGAUACUUCUUUGAAACUAGAGUACAUAUAGGAUACACCGGUGCUAAAACCUUUUCUCAAAAGAUCUUCCAAACUGUUGGGGUCCUUGCUCCGUAUGUUCUUCCCCCGGUGUGAAAGCAGUUGGUUCCAUAGUUUGAGAAUUCUACUGAUCCCAAGUACUCCAUCUCCAUCAUUGCAUAGGGAAUAUAGAAAGUCAAGAAGAAAAGGCAUGAGCAGAAGAAUUGUGUGAAAUAAGUCAAUUUAUCCAAUUGAGGCAUUCUUUCUUUUUCUUAAGAAAAUUCCCUCUAGACAUAAAUCCUUUCUGUACGAGUAGUGAAGAACUAUAGAGAGCAGUGGUUGGUUGUUGACCAACGAAAAGCAUGGGAGAAAGAAAGAUGUUGGCAAGGAAGCAUCAAAAUAGAUCAAUGAAAGAGGCUCAAAGAAUGAUCGAGGACUAUUUUAGUCCGACUAGAAACUAGGGAAACUAAAGACUAACGAAAUCUAGAUGAGAAUCCGUACAAUUAGUCUCGAGAAAAAGAAGAAAGCAAUAAAAAAAGUGAAGACAGAAAAUGAACCGAAAAUCUUCUUCUCUCAUAUUGAAUUCAUCCUUCUACGCAUCUCCAUGGGCUCGACUGAGAGUGGAGGAGAGGACGGGAAGAAUGAGAAAAAUAGUAAGGCGAGAAGACAGGUUCGAAGGACUAUCCAUCAGGGAGUUUGGACCCCGUAGUUAGGAGCAAAGAAUAUUGCGAAAGAGUCAUAAUAGGUACAAAUCUUCUUAGAUUAUGUUGAAGGAGGCGGCGCAAUUCAAUAAGCGAAAGUCAUGAUCCCUUUAAAGCAGACGUUAGGCGCAAAGAAAGAAGCUCAUUAACGAGAAUGAAAGAAUAAUUCACUCAUUAACGAGAAUGAAAGAAUAAUUCACUCAUUAACGAUAAUGAAAGAAUAAUUCUGAUUUCAUCACCUUGUUUUUACGGAGUUCAAUACUAGAUUGAAGACGGAGGGAAAUCCCAGAUUUUGCUAGGUUUUGGGCCUAUAAAGUAGCAAGAAAUCAUGAAAAAUCAGUCAAAAUUAGACAAUUAUCGUAGCAUAUCAAUAUGAGAAAAAGUAUGAAAAAGAAGCAAAAAAGUCGGAAAAUAGCAAUUCAAGAAGAAAGCCUAGGACAGGGAAAAGAAAUGAACACUUCUAGUUUGAGUUUAUGGUCCGGAUACUGACAGGUCUAUUCAUUAUUCCGCUCCUGAAUAUGGAUAAUCCUACUUCGGUUAAUUACGGAUAGUCCUCCUUCGGUUAAUUACAGAUGGUCCUACGGAUAAAUCCUCCAGACUACUUCAAUUAAUUACGGAUGGUCCUACUUCCAUAUGGAUAGUCGUACUUCAAAUGGAUAGUCCUCCGGAUAAAUCCUGCGGACGUAGGACCUUGGACCUUUCUUUCUUUAAUGGAUAGUCCUCCGGAUAAAUCCUGCAGACUGCGUAGGACCCUGGACCUUUCUUUGGCACUCCGGACGGAUAAAGAAAGGAUAAAUAAAGGCGCAAAGAAUAUUGCGAAGUGAAGCGCAUUUAUCUAAGAAAAGAAGAAAGGAUAAAUAAAGGCGCAAAGAAUAUUGCAAGAGCGGGAAUUACCUUUUCUCUUCGGGUUAGCUAAGAGUUGUCGGAGGCUUGAAGUCGAAUAAUUACUUUUACUUAAAGGUUUCACAAACCUGCAAAAUCUUCUCCAAAUUAGCGUUAGCGUUCUGAGCUAGCCAAGCAGUAUAUUUAAAAUAUAGAAAGAAAAAAAUCCAUGCAAUCCAAGUACACUAAGAACCUACAGCAUCGUCACGCUGCGUGCGGAAGGUUAAUUCUUCUAACUCUGGUAUUAUCGUUGAACAAGCAGUUCACAUUCGACUGCCCACGUAGUGGGGGAAGCUCGCUCGCUAACUUUGCACUUCGGCCAAAAUGCCGAAAAAAGGCUAAGGCCGAAGGAGGUCUGCUCCUUCGCUCAAGGAAAAAUUGCCCGAUUGAAUAUAUAUCUUGGAGCAGAGAGAGGAAAGGAUGACGGAAGCCUCAGUCUCAGUACGAAAGGGGCAAAAAGCUGGAAAAGGCAUACUGGCUUCACCUUGCCCUAGGAUGGGGUCCGUCGGAUCUUUUAAGGCAUAAGCUUAAUGCUGAGACGCACGGGGAUAUCCGGUCAAGGAUGGAUAUUCAAGACAAGGACGAAGGCUCUCCUUCACGCAAGAUGAUUACAAGUCUUAGGAGUGAACUUCCGCUUUACCCUUGUGGUAUCAUGAAGCGAAGGGCAGAGAAAGCGAGCGAGAAAACAUAAAUCAAGGCGGUCGUUGACUUAAAAUAGGCAAAAAGAAAAGACAGAGAGCCUACAGGUUUCUCGAUUUACCCUUCUUCUAGGAUAGAAAAAGGCACUGCCUGUGUGACCACUACAAGCAGACGUGACGAGCGAUGCAGGGCCACCCACGACCGCUAGCAAUACGAGGUAAAGCGGCCAGAAAGCAUACCAUAGGAUGCGUCCUGAGGGUAUUCACAUAAACAUUCUUCGAAUUGUUCACAUUCGGCGGGAUGUUCUUAGCCUUGUCUCCAAGUGAAUAAUUGAAUCGGCACCGACACGAUCGGACCUAUUGCAGCCUUCGGUUGACUGGUGGCAUUCGAUGGUAUGCUUUGAGGCCUUCCCAACCUGCUCCGUGUAAAAAGGUAGAAGGAGGCUCAAAGAAUUAUCGAAGAGCGAGACGAAAGAAAAUAGCGACUUCCAGUCGGUGAUGGGAUAUCUCAAUGUUAUCGCAGAUUCAAAGGCGCAAAGAAUAUUGCAUUGAGGCUCGACUGAAAGGAGAGGCGAAUUUGAGAAGAAAGAACUAUAUCGGAUAAAUACUCAACUGCCUCAGACGUCACUGGGACAAGAGCCGGAGAUUCUGAAACCUCUCGCAGCUUCUUUGCUUCCUUUGGUCUCGAUAUUUGAACCGCCUCAAUAAACAAUAAAUAAGGGUCCAAAAAAUCAAGGUCAUCUGAAACCCUUUUUUUUAUGCGCCUCAGUCCUAUCCAUUAGAACGCCGGCCCUCACCCUUUUUCUUCUUAGUGAGAGCUUGAGCUUUAGUCUUCCGAGUUCUCAAAUUCUUUGACCCUCUGUCUCAGUAUUCGGCAGAGAUGCUGAUGUUAACAAUAAAUGCAGGCUGAAUGUUGUAUGGAAGGAUGAUCAUUUCGGCUUCUUGUAGCCAUUGAUGUUGUCUAAUGCUUGGAGAGACAUUGUUUAAUGUGACUUUGGACAAGGUUACUGAAGAUAGAACUAUCUGGCUUUAGGUCAGUUUUCAGUUGCUAAGACAGUGAAGCUCUUUCAUCUUCCUGGUAAUACUGUCCCUUGGUUCAAGCUUCUUUGGGGUAAGAAGCACAUCCCUAGUCAUGCUUUUCUUUCGUGGAUGGCUAUGAAUAAGAGUCUGAGAGUCAAAGCUAAACUGUACAAUCUUUAAGUGCUUUCGUCUUAUUUUGAGGUUUGGAAGCAAAGAAGCAGAGCGGAGUUUGAUUCCUUAUAUCAGAAAAAGAUAUAGGAAGACUCCCAGAAAGAAGAAAGCCUAGGAGCAAGCAAAGAAAGAGUAAGGAUCAGAAAGCUCCUAACCCCUAUUUAUUUAUGGAUGUGAAUUGAGCGAAGGCGCAAAGAAUAUUGCGAAGGUUAAAGAAUAUUGACUUGAUAAACCUCUAUUUAGCUUCUUAUAUCUGAAGACGAUAAAGUCAGAUAAUCAGCCUCCGGCUGGGUCGGAUCGUCCAUACCUAGUUGAGUAUCUCUGUCCGUCAUAACGAAUUCACUCUUUGAAAAAGGGUCGGGCUUUGUUGGAGUUGACUCGGUGAGUACACUUUCAUCUUUACGAGAAGAAGCGCGAACAACAACUAUAUUAUUCAGCGACAGACCUGAUUUACCCGAUGAGUGGAAUGACUCGACAAAAGUCUUAGGACUCGGGACAGACGCGCCUCCUUCCUGCUAGAACUCAUAGGUCUACGGGGUUCUUUCGGUAGCGAGAAUAGUGGUCCCAAACGGAAUAGAAGUACUUUUGAUUCACUGAAUCAUAAUCUUUGAAAGAAGAAAGGGGGACGGAGGAUCAAUGAAAUUUGAUGAUGAUGAGUAAGCUCUUGCUUUUCUUGCUCCUCUUUCUGAAGUUGCGAGAGGUUCAAAAUAUCCUUAUCAAUGAUUGGAGUGGUUGUUCCGGUUGCAACGUUGCUGUUGGAGUAGAAGUUGUAGCCCUUUCGGUGAGGUGCAAAUGCUCGACCUCGACCCAUUGGCAUUAGUUGAGGAUGCACUAUCCCUGAUUAUUUUUUAGGAGAAAGCCUCUUUCGUCGGGUUUAGGGGAAAAGACUAAGAAUGAGGUCCCCUCCCCCCAGUUGAGGAACGAGGGCAAAAGCGAAGCCUAUGAAGUGAGUAUGAGCUCGUUCGACCCCCAUGUAGCAGGAAUAGCACCAUCUUCUCUCUUUCAUGAGUAGUUCACUGCACUCAUUAGUAGCUGGACCAAGAGGUUAUUCACUCUAUGAUCUCCUGGACUGGAAUAGGCGCUCUCCCAUAGCAAGAGGGAGCUCGACGUAGUCGGUCUUUCGACAGUCACAGUAAUUGAGAGAAGCAGCUGCCCGGGAGAGGGAGGUAUCGGAUUAGGCACGAAGAGAGGAUUAGUCGAAUCGACUGUAAGAAGAGGCAUCCGUUCUUGUGGCAGUAGCAGUUGCAGAAGUUGAAUCGUCAGUGGCUGUUCUUGUUUAAGAAAUAGCUGCAGCUAUUCCCACCAAGGCCUGACGAUAGGCUGAUUUCAGGAUUUCCUAUCCAUCCUCAAAUUCUUUGAGCCUUUGUUACAAGAAAAUACUCUUUAGUGACUCAAGAAUACCCUGUCUUAUGGCACCUCUCAUCUGGAGCCUUUGUUUUUAAACAAGUCAAAUUCUCUAAUGGAUAGCCUGAAUUCAUGAAUAUUGAAUUGAACCUACUAAAAUCAAAGGAAUAAAGAAAGAGCUCAAAAGGAGUCAAAAUGAGAAGUCCGAAACCUCAUCACCUACUCCCGGAGGCAAGGUGAAAUUCAAUAUGACGAAGUCUUAUAGUUGGGUCUCAUCCCCCCAUAAUCAAGUAGCAUCCACUAAAAAGAGCGGAGCGCGGAAGGACGAGGCGCAAUUGAAAUAUGCCUGAAUGAAUCUACCCUUUUUAGAUUCGACUACUCCGCUACGUGGGCUUACUAGUAAUGCUGAAGUUUCCUCCUUUUCUAGCUUUCUUUCUAAUGCCCUUCUUUAUGGUCAAGUGUAUGGUCACUUCCCCGAGGCGCGGAUCCCACUACACGGGAAUAUAUUAUGAUAUAAUGAACUAUCUUCUUUCUAAUAGCUGGUUUCAACAGCCACCGGGGAGGAGACAAGAACUCAAUCUACUGAAACAAGGUUUCAACCACAGCGAGAGCAUACCUCAAAAAAAUAAGGAAGAAAAAGAUAAAGGCGCGAAGCAAAGCCUAUGAAGUCAUAAGGGCAAGGGCUUUCCGUGAACUUUCUUAUGAUGGGAAAUCCUUGUUUCAUUUGCGAGACACAUUUCAUUCGUAGAAAUACCACUUCCUACUUCCUCAUCCCGACAAUAAAGAAAGCACUACGCGGGACAAAGUAGAUUCCCAAACUAAAAGGAAAGACUAAAAUCAAAGCUCCAGAUGAGUUGAAUUGAGGUGCAAUGAAAUAUGCCUUUCAGCAGUGUGCGAAUUCGCUCUUUCGGCUGAUAACCUUUCGAUCCAGAAAGCACUACGCGGAAGUUCCCCACUACGCGGCGCGAAGCGACUGCCCACUUUUUGAAAAGAAAUAAAGAGCGCAGAACAAGGUUCAGUUAAGCUUGAUAAAUCAGUCCUUCGCCUAAGAAUAAGGUUCAAAGAAUAUUGAACUCAUGAAAUCAAUAUCCCUGUCUUAUGGGGCCUUCGUAGCUUAAUAAUGGGGAUCUGGUUCAAUUAUAAGGCUCAAAGAAGAUUGAGAAAGAAUAUUGCAAAAUCAAGGCGGCAAAGAAAAGGUGAAUAUGGAUUCGUACGAUUAGACUUGACUGAGAAUGGAAUUGCUUUAGCUAUCUUUUUUUUCCGUCUUUCAAGGUGGAAGCUAAAUCAGAAUAGUUUCUAGUUGAAGGCAAGCAAGCUAGGGUUGGUUCGUAUUGACAAAGAGCUGGACUUCUAAACUUUCAAUGGGUACUGGAGUACUACUUUGUCAAUCGAUGCUUAAUACUAUCUUUACGCAAAUAAAGGCCGAAGAAUGAGGCUAAGUCUUCUAUUUAGUGGUCUCGCUUUGCACCUUGCUGAUCUCAUUUCAAAAAUGCUUCGCCUGCCUCUUCUUGGAUUCCGUGCACGAGUAAGUACCCGUAAAUCGUAAAGAAAGAGGGGGGGUAGUUACCUGCUCUUUCAUCGAGAUUGGCGAAUUACGGUAGAAGAUAGAAGAGGUUCGAGGAUCAAAGUAUUUGAGCUUUGCUAUUACUUUCAUGCUCCUCUUAGAAGGAAGAUAAGCACGAUAAGCUGGCCUAUAUCAUUGCUUAAUUCAUGCUUUCUUCGUACUUCCGGAAAGAAAUCUCACUCAUUUCAUUCUAUCACAUAAUGAGAACUCUAGAAAAGAAAUUGCUUACUUCAUGCUUUCUUCGUAUUUAUUUCCAAUCCAUCUUUUGUCUAUGACGAUCGGUACGAAAGGAAGGCAUGCUCGCAGGGGAUUCUUAUUACUAAUAGAUGAUAAGAUAAUACGAGAAUGAAAGAGGUCGAGCGCCUCACCUCUGAGUCUGAUUGUUGGAGUAGUCUGAUGACUCCCACUGGUCGUCUUUCAACUCAUUAAAUCCCCUAUCUUUUAUGGCGGUCUUACCGGAAUAUCUACUUUAUAGAAUUCCUAUGAGACUAAGAAACAAACUGAGACCUCGUAGUCUUCCUGUUCCCGGUCGAUCCUAUGAUCGAUCUCAUACAAAGAUCUCAUCUCAUCGACUAAAAAGACUCUUUCUUCUUAGUUUGAGCUUGAGGCGCGUCCAACCCACUACGCGGUAAGCUUUUCCUCUUUUCCUCUCACUUCAAGACUCAAGACCUUACCCGCACCGAGUCAAUCCGAUCGCUACCUUUCCGGGUCGUAUUCUAGUAAUUAAUUUCAUUAAUAACUCAGAGCGGCGAUCUAAAUACUUCUUCAGCAAGAACUUCGAAGAAGGUAGAGGAACUGAAAUGGAUUCACUUCCGCAGGCAGCAUCCCUUUCAACGACGACUCCCCGAGAGACCCGCUUCAAACUUCCGAUUUAGAAAGAAGGUAUCUCAGUCUCUUACCGCGUAGUGGGCUGAUCGUGAGAGAUGGAAUCUUCAACCUCUUAUGGAAAUGUGUCCAGCGGAAGUAUUUACGUAAGAAAUUGAGAACCAGGCGAGAGGAGAGGGGUGAGGAUCGAGCGCAUUCCCUAUCGAUCAGCAUCCUCAACUCUACUUCAGAGCUAGAAAGGUUUCGGAAUUCAGAGGCAAGAGCAUUCCUUCCUCUUCUUUAGUCAAGUCAUUUCAUUCCAUUUCUCACUAGGUCUAUAGAAAUAGUUCAUGGCCACUAGGUCUCGUCAUAUUUUUUCUCAAGAGAUGAGAAGAAAGUUCCUAAUAGAAUAUGUUUGAAUAUCUCAACUAGAAAGUCUCGGAUUAACUCUUCCCAUAGCGUAGCCGCGGCGGAAAAGGAAGAUUUUCAACAGUCAAGAGAUCAAUCAGAAGGGAGCGGAAGAAUGGAUAUUGUCUUCGAUCUUGCGAUAAAAUGAGUGAGACCAUAUGCGAUCUGUCUCAAACAGAGAAUUAGUAAUCUGAGUCGCAGGGAAUAGGUUGAAUAGUCCGGAGGACGGGGAGAAGAAAAGAGAGGUUCCGAGGUUCAAAGAAUAUUGGACAAAGAAUAUUUCAUGAAUUGAGGUGCGGUAGUCCGUCCGAAGGACUAUGAAAUCCAUUAGUUUUCGUUUGCACUCCUUUCUUCUUUUCUUAGAUAUUCUGGGAUUGAACUCCGUCUGAAAUCUAGCAGAUUCAUUUUUAGCUUCUUUCAUUCUCGUUAAUGAGCACUUGAACUGUCUUUCUCAGGCGCAAAAAAUAUUGCCGAGAAGAGCAAAGAAGGAAUGGCGAUCAGAAUUGAGUCCUUUCAUACUUUCGUUGAGGAGGAGGAGUUUUUUCUUGUAUCAUAUUAGGAUAUUUUAGUAGAAUAAGAAGAAGAAGAAGAUAAGUACGUAGCGGGCUUUUCUUAUGGCGGAGCGGAGGAGUCCGACUAUCCACUGAAGAAAGUAGGAAAGCCUAAGGAACCUAAAAAGGGCUAAUAGGGGAAGGAAGAAAGCCUAUCCCUCCAGAAUCUUUGAGGACCGAAGGACUUCUUUAUAUCCCUAUUUAUUUAUUUAUGGGACUCCCAGAAAGGUUUAGUUCCAUAAAUCAGUCGGCUAAUAUAUAGGAUGAAAGUAGAUAGAGAGGAAAAGAAAAAAGUCGUCACUCUUAAGGAGUGCAAGAAGGAAUCUUUGAACCUUUUAUCCUGAUCUCUCUCAUUCUACAACUCAGUCGAGCCACUAUUCAACCUUCUUUUCGAGGGGACAUCAUGUCCUCUUAUCUUAAUCCCAUAAAUCAUUUAAGGCGAUACUGAAAGAAGAAAUCCAGCAACUUAAUCCGGUAGAGUCAAUUCGAGACUAAGACGAGUUGGGGUUUCGACCAUAGGCUUUCCUUCCAAACCUACUAUACUAAACCUACCCCCGGACUCAAGGCGCGAAGUGAAGCGGCUGCCCACUUUUUAGAAAUAAAGAGCUGAGAUAAUUCUUUUCACUCAUUGAGGUCGGCUAAAUUCAAUGGAUAAAGAAGUCCUUUGCUUCAUUCUAUAUGUCCUUAUCAAUGAGACCAUUAAUCAGUCCGAAGGACUAUCCAAAGAAAAGAAUAUCCCUGUCUUAUGGGGCCUCCGUAGCUUAAUAUGGAGCGCUCCGGACGAGUCUUAACUAAUAUUCCCAAUCAAAGAAUUAUCGAAAGAAUGAUCGACGAGUCUUAUUCCACUAAAAUAGUAGUCCUUCGGAGCAGUCUUAAUACUCCUAAAAUCAAAGCUCCAGAUGAGUUUCAUUCCACUAAAAGACGAAAGAAGGUAUCUCAGUUACCAAAGAGAAAGAGCUUCCACAAACCACUUCCACAUAAACUUCUGCUAAGUCUACUUCUGUUAUUGAUUCAACUUAGCCUUUAAUCAGAUUAGGACCUAGCUAGCCAACCUUAUUCCUUCCUCUUCCUUACUUUGUUCUCGCUUGCUUCGGCAACACAUCUUUGGAUACUGGAUAAGCUGCAAGAGAAAGACUUCUUCCGAUCGAUCAGCUACCCGAUUCCUCCUUCCCCGAUGAUAAGGUUAGCAGGCCCGAUCCUCUCCUAUUGAAAAAGAAAGCAGAAAUCUUUCAGUCCAGAGUAUUUAUCCGUAGCCCGGAGGAUUUAUCCGUAGGACCAUCUGUAAUUAACCGAAGUAGUCUGCAGUCUGAAGUCCGCAGGAUUUAUCCGGAGGACUAUCCAUUAGAAGUAGGACCAUCCAUAUGGAAGGAAGUAGUCCAGAAUCCGCAGUCCGCAGGAUUUAUCCGUAGGACUAUCCAUUUUCAGUCGGACUAUCCAUAUGGAAGGGAGCGAAAUCUAGCUAUGAGGACUCUUUGAGCUCUUCUUUGAGUCAGUGGCUGCCCUUCCAGAAGGAGCAGCGAAGUCCGCGGUUUCAGAGGUUUAUGUAGCAGUUCUUCUUUAAUAAGAUGCUUACUUUCUUUCGGGUAGAAAGGUUCACUCGUGAACGCACUACUACAGAAAUUGGUUUACUUGACGUUAAUACAAUGUCAAGUAAAUGUAUACUUGACGUUUUUAAAAGCGUCAAGUAUUCGACUGUCAAGUAUAGUUACAUUACUUGACACUAAAAAACUGUCAAGUAUACGUUUACUUAACACUGUAUUAACAUCAAGUAAUCGACUGUCAAGUAUAGUCACAUUACUUGACACUAAAAUAUUGUCAAGUAUACAUUUACUUGAGACUGUAUUAACGUCAAGUAUUAUAUCAUACUUGAUGUUUAUUACGUGUCAAGUAAGAUCAUACACAUGACGCCUUUUACAUGUCAAGUAAAGUCGUAUACUUGUCAAUUUUUGCACUUCAAGUAAGAUUGUAUACUUGACACUAUGUAUCCGUCAACUAAGAUGAUAUACUUGACACUAUUUAUCCGUUAAGUAAAAUAGUAUAUUUGAUUCUAAGAUAGUAUACUUGACAUGUAUCUAACGUCAUGUAUACCAUUUAUUAAUAUAUUAAAUAUAUAAAAAAUUUCAUUUCCUGUUUUCUGUAUUACGUACAUUCAUUUCAAUAAAACAUAUUCAUCGACAAAAUAAACUCUCCAACUAGUAGUUACACAAAAAAUAAUUUAGUAUAAGUAAACCAACAAUAAUUUUAUUACUCUCAACAACAUCGUCAACAAUUACACAAUUCCAAUCCAAUAUAGUCAACUAAAAUUUCCUAUAUGUGGCCUAUUCCAAAAUCAACAAAAUAAUUAUCUUAUAUAACCAAAAACAUGUGUGGUAUACCAAAACUAAAAUCUAUCCCUUUACAUCUAUUGCAUGUACAUAAGCAUAAUAGCUAUGAACGAAACAUUUACAAAAAAAAAAAAAAAAAGUUAUGGGCAUUCCCAUAUAUUAGUCAUUCACAAAAUUAAUAAGAUCACAUCUAAGGAUGUCUAUCAUAUGUACAAAGCUAAAAAUUUAGCCCACUCCGCUCAUACUUCAUCCAAUUCAAGCUGUGAGUAGAAACUCUUGUAUCAGUCUAUAAAACAUAAAAAAUCAAGUAGACAUUUGUUAAAAAUAAAAAUUAAUCAGAUAAGUAACUUAUUUCCAUCAUAAAAAAAUAAUCCCCUUGUAAAAAAUUCUACAUUGUAAGGAGGAUAUUGUAAACCUAAACAUGAAUAUUUAAACCUAUAUGAAACUAAGUACAAACAUAAAUUAGAAAACCUACACUAAAUAAAUAUUGUUAAUGCUCAAAAACAGUUAAAAAUUAACUUAAAGAAUACCGUAUAACUUAAGCAAGUUUCCCAGAUCAUAAUACACAAGAGUACCUAUUCAACUGAGUUAAGUGCUUCAACACCUCCCCGCAUCUGCAAAGAAAAACAUUACAAGAGUAAAGGGAGAGACAAAAAAACGAACUUCCUUUGAUCUUCUUACAACAUUCACAUUUAUCAAGCUCCACUAAAUCACUAAUAAACCAAGAGGACACUAUUGCUUACCUAUUUAUUGCAGAGAAUCUGGGUUCAAGACAAAAAGAACAAAAUAAUUAUACACCAAAUAUUUUGAAGAUUAUUGAAUAGAAAUGUGUAUAUUGUUCACGUGAAAAUUUCACCUACCAUUCUGCAAAUCAAAACAAAUUCUUUGAAUGAAACCAAAUCAUCGAUGAACUCUCACCACCCUGAAUAAAAAACCAACGAAAUCAAUCAAAGAAAACAAAUACAUUGAACUCAAAAAACAAAAAAGAAAAACUCUCAUCCUCUAACAUUCAGUAGUGAACGAAAAAGGGAAGAAAAUCAGAGGGGGGCGGCUUUUCGGUGAGAAGAAAAUCAGAAGGGGGCGUGUCCAGUGAGGAGAAGGGAGAUCGAGAAGAACUCCAGUGGUGAAGAAAUUCGGUGGGGGCCAUUCCACGUGAAGAAAAUCAAAGGGGAAGGGGGCUUUUCGGUGAGAAGAAAAUCGGAAGGGAAGGGGGACACGUUCGGUGAGAAGAGGGGGGCGAGAAAAGAAAUUUGGUGGAGGGUCGUCUGACGUGAAGAAAAUAAGAGGGGGCUUUUUAGUGUGAAAAAAAUCGGAAGGUUGCGUGUGAUAAGGGAAGAGAGGCAGCAUGUGAGAGAAAAUAGGAAAAAGGAGGGAAAAUGAAAAGAGGGAAAGGGUUGGGGAAAAAAAUUUGGGAAAUAAGUUAGGUUUUUUUAGAAAUAGAGAAAAAUGGAAAAUUUAGAGAAAAAAAGAGAAAAAAGUUUUAGAACUUUAGGAUGAAAAAAAUAAUUGGAAAAAAAAGGGAAAAGUUUUUUUUUUUUUUUAGAAAAUAGAGAAAAUAUAUAUUACUUUUGAUAUUUUAAUAAGUUUAUUGUAAUAAUUUUAUUUUAAUUAAUUAUUUAAUGAAAGGAGGGAAAUAAAAAGUAUUUUAUAUUUUUAUACUUGAUAAAAUAAAAAUGUUAACUAUACUUGACGUUAUUUCUGCAUCAAGUAAACAUUAACUAUGUUUGACGUGAAAAAAAUGUCAAGUAAAAGUUGAACUAUACUUGACACUAAAACACCGUCAAGUAAAUUCGACACUAUACUUGACAUGGAAAAAAUAUGAAGUAAAAGCUAAUGUAAGAUAAUUAAAAAAUUUCAUGAAAAUUUUGCUUUCUUUAAACUAUACUUGAUGUUUUGUUCGUGUCAAGUAAAAGUUCAUUAUACUUAGCGCAAAUAAAACGUUAAGUAAAAUCUCCCUUAUACUUAACGAGAAAAAAACGUCAAAUAAAAGCUAACUUAAAAUAGUUUGAAAAAUUUCGUAAAACUCCACUUUUUAAAAACUAUACUUGACGUUUUUUCUUUAAAAUGGUCAAUACUUGACAUUUUUUUAAUAAAAACGUCAAGUAUGUAAAAGUACCUAGUGUCAAGUAAAGUAGAUUUUGUAGCAGUGACGGUACACCUCUUAUAUGAUGCCUGGGGACUUUGUCCCUUCUUCUACGGAUUUCUCUUAUAUGAUCUUAUUCAUCUCCGUAUCGUUCAUAUAUUCAUUCUAUAAAAUCCCUAGCUGCCACAGAUGGUCGAACUUGCCUCUUAAGUGGCGUGGGUCGAUCCUCUUGUUGACUUUUACCUAGGAGUGGGGGGAAGAAGUUCGAGAAUAAUUUCUCUUCUUUCCCUGUCCCAGUUCUUCUUUCCACUUCUACUUAAGUCACCACGACUGAUACAGAUGCAAGAACAUCAGGGCGAGCAGGGAAGAGGCGGAGGGAGUUUGCACUUUUUCAUGCGGGUUUGAGUGAGACUGAUGCGCCCUAGGUCAAGCCAUUGCUUCGUCUUGUUCAUCACAUUCAUUAUGUUCACAAUUCCGGAAUCAAAGUAGAAAUACGAGAAAGCGCUCCAGCGGACUCUAAUUCAUUGGGAAUUCUAUCUUCCCGCCUCAAUGAACAAGGUGAAAAGAAUAUUAAAUGAAUCAUUGAGUUAAGGCGGUGGAACCUAGGAGUGGGACCGGGAACAUGAUAGGCUUCAAUCUAAGAAGUGAAUAUAGUAUUGAAAGAGGCCCACGGAGCGAUGUCCGACUAUCCUACUAUCGAAGCCUUGAAGCAUGAGUCUUGAGGUUUUCAAAGUCUACUCAGAGGACGAGGUUGAAGUUUCAUAGGGAAAGGUUUCAUAACAAGCAGUUGUUUUCCGUAUCGAAUGCUCUUUCAUUCCUUAUUCGAAAGAAGGCAAAGAAAGUGGAAACUAAAUCCUUGGAUUCUUUCCCGCUUGAACCAUGAAAGGUUAGGCCUUAGUUACGAUCUCAUUCAAUGCCCUAGCAUACUCAAAGGUUCGGGGCGUAGUGGAUGGAGCUAGAAGACUACUACUUGGACGAGGGAUUUCCUUUCUCUUAUUGUAAUACUCCUAACCACCCCUUUUUGAAUGGGCAGGCCCCUCUGGUCGAGUUUACCCUUUUUAUUCAGGCCUAUCUGCCUCCGUUCAUGAAGGACAAAAUCGGAUUGAGCCCUUGUUCAUUGAGGCGUAUAAGCCCACGUAGCGGUGCCAUAAGACAGGUCUGAAGGCGUCACAGGUCCGGAGGACCCGUCUGUCCGAAGGACGAGAUAUUUAUAAUGUUGAGAGAAAGAUUAGACUUUGUCAGGACCCUUAUUUCCGUUAUUUUUCACUUUCAAUAUUCUUAAGAAUAUUCAUUCAUCCGACAGAGCAAAGUUCAUCCAGAUCCCCAUAUGAAUUAGGCGAAGGACUGAUUUUCAAAGUCAGAGCUAUCCCUCAAAUUCUUUGAGCCUCUGCACUCAAAUUCUCUAAUGGAUAGUCCUUCAGACCGCUAGGAGUAAAGAAUAUUGUGUGGAACUGAACUAAUAUGGAAAAAGCAUUUCCUAUUGAUUUCUCCCCUGGACUGGACCUAUUCUGAUUCUGAAUUAUCCGUCGCUACGUUGUUCCCAUGGACUAGCAAAAUCGAAAUAGCGAAAUUCUUGGGUCAUCUCAAUGGGUUCAGAAACCACACGUUUCUCUGGAUCAUCAUAGCGUACUUCCACAUAUCCACUCAGAGGAAGGUCUUUUGUAAUGGAUGACCCUCGAAACCAUAAUAUGUUGAUAUACGGCGUAGAUCCGGAUGAUUGAUGGAAGAAACACCAAACAUAUCCCAAACUUCUCGCUCCCACGGCCGGCUGAUGGAAAUAGACUGACUACCGGAGAGAUUCGUGUUACUUCGUCUGCACUGGUUUGUACACGAAUGCGUGAGUUAUACCGAGUACUCAGUAAAUUAUAGACCACUUCAAAUCUGAGUUUUCUAUAUAUAUUUAUAUUGAUGUUAAUAUGUUACCUUGUAAUUGGAAUGGUGAUUUGAAUAAUCUAAUAGGAUUAUGUGUUUGGAUCAAAAUAUGUUGCAAGAGAAAUAGCUAAAUGUGUGGAUUUAGUGACAAAGAGGGUAUUCAUGUGUUUAUUUUAGUUUUCUCAGUGAGGACUCGAUUUUUAGAAGAAACGACCACUGUUCGAAUCAUUCAAAACUUUGUUCCGAACAAAAAUUUUGGACUUUGUCAUUGUCCUCUUCGUCGAAUGUGACAAACUUGAAGACAACGAUGAAACAUUGAAAGAUUACUUGGAUCGAAAAUGUCCUGUGGGGUUGAAAGAUACCAUAGCCGCUAGCAAGAACUGUUGCUUGGUUUUCAAUAACAAAACCGAUAAUGAAACAAAGAAGAUUGAAUAAGUGGAUAAACUUAUAAAGAUGGUGCAUGAAGUUGUACAACAAAAUGAAGGAAAAGCAUACACUCAUGGCUUGUUUUCUAAUGUCAAGUUUGAGACCAAGUUGCAAGAUGAUGUGAAAACCAAGCUUGAACACACAAUUACAGUUCAAAACACAAGCAAAAUUUAAAGCAUAACAAGGAGCACAAGAACUUCAACAACAAUCUAUUGAUCAAAUUCGAGUCCUCAAAGACCAUCUAUGCAUCAAGACUUGAAAGGUCACUGUCACUACCAAUGCUUCCACAAAUUAUUCGUCAUGGUCGCUGCAUGAGAAAAGGUUGCAUUAUUGUAUGACUUUACUGUGCAUGCAUUCAAUAAAUAUGUACAAGUAAUUAGUAUAAUGAAUAUAUACUAAAUAAAAAUAUGAAAAAACUGUGAAAAAAAACUUAUUUGAUUAACUGCUAUAAAAAUUAAUAUUUGAAAAUUGGCAUGUGUUCUCGAAACUAAUAAAAGCAAGUUUGGAAAUGCCUUUAUUUUGUCUUUGUUGAGUGUAGUGUAAAUUGGCAAAUAUAGAAUGCUUAAUUAUGUUGUUAAUUAAUAGAAAAUUAUUUUAGAAGUUUUGAUGAAUGUCCAACUACAUGUGGAAAGAAUUAUAAAGGAUUGAAAAAUGAUUCUAUAAUCUAGCCCAAACAAGAGGUGGGUUAUUAUAGCUCACUUCACUUCUAUUUAGUUUGGGACCCAAAUAGCCUCUUAAAAUUAGGUUAACUCCAUAACUAAUAAGGGUCUUUAACUCAUAUAGUCUAAAUGCUAUAUGAUAUUACAUGAAUGAUCCAAAUUACUAAUAAAUUUCAUAAAAGUCCUAAAUGGACUAGUAUAUUACAUAAAUGUAGGCUCAAAUUACUUUAAUACCAAUUUAUAUUAUUUAAUUGAUUUAUAACAAAUAUCUAAAUGAAAAAAACCGUGGGAUAUAGUUUUGGAAAGAAGUGGGGUCCAAAUUAAUUUAAUAUCAACUUCUAUUAUUUAAUUUAAUUGAUUUAUAACAAAUAUCUAAAUGGAAAAAAUGGUGGAACACCGUUUUGGAAAUAAGUGGGGUCCAAAAUAAUUUAAUACAAAUUUUUAUUAUUUAAUUGAUUUAUAACAAAUAUCUAAAUGGAAAAAAUAAAGAGAUACAGUUUUGGAAAGAAGUGAAAAACUUUUCAUGCUUUCCUACCACGAAAAUGGUUGUCUACUCCUUUCAACGUGGAUUACGAUUUUUACUUCAAAAUUUUAGAGAGUUCGGAGGUGAAGAAGAAGACAGUCGACGACCGACAAAUACAAAACUUCUCGAACAUAAUCUAGUUAAAAACUUUGAAGUUAGUAUUGUAUAUAUUCAACACAUAUGAAACAUUAGAUAUAUUAUGUAUAUUUUAGAUAUUCAAUUAAAUAGUCAAUCAAAUGAAAAUGUAGUUUUGAAUGUGAUACAUUUUAGGGUUUAUUGAGAUUUCGGCGGUGAAGAAGAAAACUUUUGAUGGCCAAAAAAUACAAAACUUAUCCGACAGAAUCUAGCUAGAAAAUUUGUGCUUAAUAUUAUAUAUAUUCAAAACAAAUGAUUAGAAACAUUUAGUAUAUUAGGUAUAUUUUAAAUAUUCGAUUAAAUAGACAAACAAAUGAAAAUAUAUGAAACAUUUGGUAUAUUAGGUAUAUUUUAAAUAUUUGAUUAAAUAGACAAACAAAUGAAAAAUUAGUUUUGAAUGUGAUACAUUCUAGAGUUUAUUAAGAAUUCAACGUUGAAAAAGAACGGUCAUCCUAUCAAAAAAAUAAUAGAACUAUAUAUAUAAUAUGAGGUAUAUAUAUAUAAACAUAGAACAUAACUAUUAUAGAUUACGGAUAUAUUAAAGUAUAAUGUAAUCAAAUACAUUUAUAAAGGAAAAAUAUGUAUGUAUGAUCAUGUCGUUUACUACCGUUUUAGUAAUAUUUAUUCUACAAACACAAAUUAUGUAGGAAUUAUGUAUAAGGUAUUAUUGUAUAUAAUAUGAGGUAUAUAUAUACUAAAUAACAUAUAUGAAUUAAAGUGUAUAUUUUAUUAGUGAAAGGUUCUUAUAUCAAUUUGUUUAUGAUUUUUAUUUAAAUAUUCAUAUAUUAUGUAGUAAAUAAUACGUUAUGUUUGAAAUAAUAUUGAUUAUGUAUUAAAGUUGCCCAUUAGACAGUUUUUUAAUAAAAUAUACCUAUUAUAUUAAUAUAGAAAAUGGGAGGAAAUCGUGCAACAUUAAAAUAGGAAACUUCUUUACCAUUUUCUCACUUUCCAUAUUCAACGAAAAGCUUGCCAUUUCGACAGUCAAUGACAUAUACAACAUAUUAUAUAAUGCGAUAAUAUUAUAAAACUAGUAUAAUCAUAAAUAAGAUGUGAUAUAUAUUUAAGGGAAAUAUUAAAAAACUGAUAAAUUCAUAAUAGAAUAACGUUAAAAUAAGGAGAAUAUUGUUAAUAUAUAAUAUAUAUACGCAUAUGAUAUACUCAUAAUGAACUAAUUUUAAAUGGGUAAAAUAACAAAUGACAUAUUUAUGUUAUUCUUCAUAUAAAACAUCAACUAAAAGUAUUAUAUCUCACGGUUAAUAUAUAAAACUAUUAUAAAUGUAAACAAGAUGUGAUAUAUAUAUAUAUAUAAUAAAUCACAUAUACAACCUAUUAUAUCAUCCGAUAAUAUUCUAAAAUUAGUAUAAUCAUAAAUAGUAUGUGAUAUAUGUUUAAAGGGAAUAUUAAAAAACUGGUAAAAUCAAAAUAGAAUAACAUUAAAAUAAGAGGAAUAUUGUUAAUAUAUACUAUAUAUACGCAUAUGAUAUACUCAGAAUGAACUAAUUUUAAAUGGGCAAAAUAACAAAUGACUGUGGAUUUUAUCUUAUCUUCAGGUGAUGGACAAUUGUAUAUGACGGCGAUUUGUUAAGAUUCUGCAGCUUACGGUUAUGAUAAAUUUGAAUACAAAUUUAUAAAACAAUGUAAUAAGAAGUUCAAAUGAUGGAGAAGAAUAGCAAAAAAAAGCUGUCGGCGAUGGAGAAGAUAAUGUAAUGGCUGCCAGAGAGAGUGAACAAUUAGGUUAAGUUAUAUUUUUAGAAAGAAUAAUUAAAUAGUUUAUUACAAAAUAAAGUAAAAUUACAAUUAUUAUAAUAUAUUCUGAUUUAUAAUUAAUUUAAAAGAUACUUGAAAUUAUUAACAUAUUAAGGUCUUUUGUUUAAAAGUUUCAACUAAUAAUAAUGAUAGUUCUCAUUAACCAAUUGACAAAUGAUUGAUAUUGUCAAAUAAUCGAUAUUGUCAAAUGAUCGAUAUGUGCAAGUGCACAUUUCAAUUAUAAUAUAGUAAAACGUUCUUAGAGAUCGAGCUAGUAUCCUUUUAAGAGGGAUCAAAUUAACAAAUUAAUUUAUUGAUUUUAGGAUUAGAUGUGUUUUAAGGAUAAAAACAAUGAUUAGAAACUAAUAAAAGAUCCCUAAAAGACAAAUAUGAAAUCUCAAAGAAUAAAAAAUGCUCCAAAAUUGUAUUUGAUUUCACUGUUCAAUCCAUAAAAUCAUGAUGUGUAUAGGUUAUAUGAAAACUAGUGUCAGUAUGUGUUCAGCUCAAGUUGUUGACUUUUGAAAAAAAUAUCUUUCCAUUCAAACAUAUACAUAGUUUGGUUGGUAGUUUUUCUUCAAAAUUAUUAUUUUGAGAAAACAAAUACAAUUUCUUUUUUAGGUAAUCCAAUAUCCUCGAGUAUAUUUAAAUAUGGAAAUAUUAUUUCCAUAUUAGAAGAGAUACUAAAAGAUCUUAUUAUAACAUCAUUAGAGUCCCAUCAUUUUCUCUAAAUAUCUCUUUUGUGGUGAAAGAUUUGGAAUUGCACAUCAAUCAUUUUGGAAUGGGUAAUUGAUCACCCUAUUUUUCAAAAAAUAAGAAAGAUAAAAAAUAGUUAUUUUUUUUAAAGAUAUAUUUGAAAGUGUUGAGUUUAUGGAAGGUAUUAGUACUUAUACAACCACAAACAUUUGAUUUUUGUUAUCUAAAUUAUUUUAAUAAAAAUGUUUUUUUUUUUUUGAAGUUUAUGCUUAUUAAAAAUGCUUAUUUAAAAAAUGUUAAUGAAAUUUUAAAAAAUAAAAUCUAAUUAAACACUUCUGAGAUAGAGAGGUUUCCCUUGACUACCCGAGCGUAGAUAAACACUUCUGAGAUUUGGUUGGUAAUCCCAAGUUCGUGUGCAGUUGAUUAUUUUUUAAAUUUUGUAUAGUUGAAUAAUAUUUGAAUUUUAAAUUUUCAUCUAUGUGAUAUUUACUCAUUUCAAACUUUUUGAAUAUGCAUGUUUAUUUAUUAUUCUGCCGUCUCUCUAUUGUAUUUUAAAAUUUAGAAUAUGUGUAUUUAUAUUAUUUGAAAUUGAAAAUUUAACUUUUGCUCUUACAGUAGGCUUUAACUCUUUGUUUGUCCGUGUUGUAGGUGAGAGAGAAGGAAAAGUUCCAUUGUUUGAUUGAAUUGGAAUUGUUUCGUGCAUGGGGUGUCAUACAUAAUUCCACUUAUUACUAGUUGAAGGUCUUCUUUGCCUCUGUCUUCUUCCCCAUCUCCCCAAGUUGUUCUAACCUUUUUAUAUCUACCUAUUACAUGUCAAAAGGUUGUUUCGCUCUUCAAUGUUUUGAAACAAGUUCAUUAUGAAAAUCUCUCACAAGCAAACGUCAUGUGCAUUAUGAAUAAUUUCAUCUCAAAAAAAUUGUUUGAGAGGUUUCAAAAGUGUAUCGAAACUAAUAAUUUUAAUGAAUAAAAAAAUAAUUCUUCGUUAGAUUCUUACAUUUUAUUUCAACGAAUAAAAUUUAGGAAAAUUUUUAAAAAUAGCAAAUUUUACAAAAAUAUUUACAAUUUAUAACAAAUUUAUAGUCAUUGAUAUGCUAUAACGAUAGUUACUAGUAAAUAUUUUAAUUUAUUUUGUUAUUUUUAAAAAUGCUCAUAAAAUAUUAUAGUGAGGGAACAAUGAUGAAUCACAUAGUUUUCUUGUGGUGAUGUCGCUUUUUAUCCCUCUUUACAUUCUAAAAUCUCAAAUACAAAUCAUAAAACAAGUAGAUAUACAUUCAAUUAACAUGAUUUUGAUUCUAAUAAAUUAGAAAGACAAAAAUAACUAACUAAUUAUGGAAAAGUAAUAUUUUAACAUGAAUUAUUGAUUUUUAAUUAGAGGUAAUUUUAAAAUAAAUAAAAUAAAAGAAAAUAUUACAAAUCAAAUCUAAACUAACUUUGAUUUUACUUCUUUAAUUGCAAUAUAACAUAGAUACAUUGGCUAUGAAGUGCAAUUUCUUAUAUUAUAAUAUUUAAAAGAUUUAAAUUUAAAAAUAAAAAUAAGUAAUCUCAAGUCCAAUAUUGGACCUGUGGGGCUUAGCCCAUCAAUUUAAAAAUUCAAAAUGCACACUCAACGGUCACAUUUUCCUAGGAUCAUCCUAUUUAAUGCCCUUCUACUUGUCAACUCCAUCGAAAUCCUUCAUUUCUUGUGGCACCGUCUAAAAUUUGCUUCGAUUGAAGAAAUUUUGACGCCCAUGACAGCGUUGAAAUUUCUUCAAUGCAAACAAAUUUUUUAUCUUCCUUUCAUCGAGGAUUUUCAUACCAUGUGAAGGAGAGAUCAGUUCCAUCAGUUCCAAGUCGUUCGUGAGUCAUCUUCUUUCCUGUGUAGUUUCAUCUCUUGAUUUUGGAUUGCUUGUUCAAGAUUUAUUUUCGAAUUUUGGAUUGUUUGCUAUUCGGAUAGGCAGAAGGUUUGCACGAUGAUAGAUCUGGAGUACCUGAAUCGUUUAUUGAUUCUGUAGUUUAAUCUUAUGAUUUUGGUGAUUUCGAAGCGUACAAUAUAAUCGUACUGUGUUAUGAAGUAAAUAAGAUUUUGUAGGGUUUUUGAAAGUUAAUUUAGAUAUUUCCUGCAUUUUAGUCUUGAUAGAUCUGGGUACCUGAACCGUUCAGGUUUGCAUGCUGUGAUUGUGUUGUUCUUUUUUGAUUUUGGAGAGAGUCCUUGGGUAAUUUUGAGGAUUGUUCUUUUUUUAGUUUUUUUUUGCAUGCAUUCAAACACACGCAUGGUUUUUAAACUGGGGUUCUUGAAUAUUUGUUGGUUUUCUCGAAUAUUUGCCGGUUUUUUUUUCUCAGAAGAAUUGAUCUUAUAUUUGUGUAUCUCUCUGUGCAACUUUAAUAUAAAGUUAUUAAGGAAGAAGAGAAAGGAGGAAGAAGGGAGAGAGAAAAGGUAGAAACGACCUAAUAGUAGGCAUGAGUAUUAAGAUGCAGCAGAGCCACCACUUAGUGGCGCUAAGGUUUAAUGAGCAAAUUGACAGUAGAAAAGGGUCCACAUCCAUACCUAAGUUACUAUUGCUCUGGGUUCUGUUGGUGGCAUUCAUUAGUAUGUUAAACUACAAAGAAAUGGAUGGGUGGUGUUAACAAAGUUAGAAGAAAGUAAGUUCUGGGAAGUAUGUGUGACCAGACGACAAAGAUGCUUCUGCCUCAACUUAGUGUCAGUGUCAAACUAUGUCCAGGCUUUGGCCAUUCUCAUUUCAUUUCCAGUACUUCAAAAUCGUAUCAGCAAUUGAUCAGGAAAAUGUGUUUCGAUUUCUGUCUUUUAUUAGUCUCGGUUAGUUAGGCUUAAGAGUAAGGGAUAUAAUUCAUUUUUCUUGUUUCAGCUAGAAAUUACGUCGAUGUCUUGAUUUUUAGUUUUUUUAGGGCUGUUUGGUUGUUUUUUUAGGGGUGUUUGGUUAGUUAGGCCUAAGAAGUAAGGGCUAGUGAAAGAGAAGCAUUUGAUUGUCCUACAAGUAUCUGAAUCGCCAAUGAAAGCAGAGGUUAUUUCCUCUGAAUUUCCACGAAUUGUUCAGGUUUGGAUUCUGUGAUUGUGUUGUUCUGUUGUUCUCUUUUUUAUUUUGGAGUGUUCUAGGAAAUUUUGAGGUUUGUUAUUUUUUAGUUUUUUUGGCUUGCCUUUAAUCACGCUCGUUUGGGAAUAGACAGGCUUCAGAGAAUGAAUCUCCUUUUUAAGGGUUCGUUGGGAGCGAAGUGACCAUAUGGCAUCCCUUUCUGCACCUGCUCAGUCUCUCUCUUGCCUUUUUCAUACUACAUAUUUUUGUUUCUCAAUUUAGUGUCAGUGUCAACCAUGUCUAUGCUUUGGCCAUUCUCAUUUCCACUUUCCACUACUCUAAAAAUGUAUCUGCAAUUGAUCAGGUAAAAGUGUUUCAAUUCUCUGUCUUUGGUUCAUCUCCGUUAGUUAGUCUUAAGAGUAAGGGAGAUAAUUCGUUUUUCUUGUUUCCCUCCAUGUAUUGAUUUUUAGUUUUUUAGGGAUGCUUGGUUGGUUUGAAUGCACGAAACAUUUGCUGGUACACGAUUCAAACAGCUUGCCCAGUCAUGUUUUUCUAUUUUUUUUUAAUAUUUUGGAAUUUUGCAUGUGUGAUUUCUGUAUAUAUUAUUCUUGCCCUUUUCCUUUAUCAUCAUUUAUUUUGAUUUUGGAGAGGUCUCUUGGUUAUUUGUUAUUUGCACAUAUACAAGGGUUGAAAAUUUCAAUCCCACCUCUCUUUUAUAUUACAUUCAUUUAGUUUUGGCUGUUAUCUAAUUGAACUAUUUGAUCAUCAAAUAAUUGUGUUACCUUUUCUUCUAGAUGUUUAGAUUCAUUUUUCUCACUAUUUUAGUUUUCUUAAUGUGUGACAGUCUUUGUUUUUUAUUGAACUAUUGUGUGGCAGUCUUUAUUUAUUGGUUAUCUUUAGUUUCACUAUUGUUCUUUUUUUAAUGUUUUCUUAGUUUUUAAUAAGUGUGACAAAAUAUGAAUUAAUUUUUUUCUUUGAACAAAUGUGGAAUUUAUUUUCUUUUAAUGUAGUUGUGUCCCCAAUAAAUUUAUUUUGGCGAUUUAACAAUCCAUCAUGUUCUUUUUCAUUUUUCUGUUGUAUUUUCUUCGGUUCUUUGUUGUGGUAUGUCUAUUUUUGAGACAUUCUUAAUUUAGUUUUAUUUCUUUUAGCUUCCUGCAUCAUUUUGUAUUAUGGAUUGUUAUGAAAUUUUGAGAUUAUGCUUUAUUUUGUUUUUUGGUCCUUUGCUGUGAUGUCUUUUGAUUAUUUCUUUUGAGUGAACAGUUCAUGUAAGAUUUUCUGCAUGAGAAUAAAUUGAUUAUUUAAUUUGGUCAAAGAAGUUCAAAAUUUACAUGUGAAAUUUACACUCAGUGGCUGUAAGGUUUAAUGAGAAAAUUGGAAGUAGAAAAGAGUCCACAUUAAUUCAUUCAGCCAAGAGGGCUUGGCAUCCUAAGUUUGCUCUGGGUUCUGUUGGUGGCAUUCAUCAAUAUGUUAAUCUAUUAGGGAAUGUAUGGUUAUAACAAAGUAAGAAGAAUGGAAGUUCUGGGGGAGUAUUUGUGACAAGAGGGCAAGGAUGCUUCUGCAUCAAUUUAGUGUUAGUCAAUCAUGUCUAUGCUUUGGCCCUUCUCAUUCCACUUUCCACUACUACAAAAAUGUAUCUGCAAUUGAUCAUGUAAAAGUGUUUCAAUUUUCUGUCUUAGGUUCAUCUCAGUUAGUUAGUCUUAAGAGUAAGGGAGAUAAUUCAUUUUUCUUGUUUCAGCUAGAUGUUACCCUCCAUGUCCUGAUUUUUAAUUUGGCUUCCUAAGUGUGCUCUAGGUUCUGUUGGUGCAUUCAUCAGUAUGUUAAUCUACAGGUGAAUCUAUAGUUAUAACAUAGUAAGAAGAAUGGAAGUUCUUGGGGAGUUUGUGUGACAAGAGGGCAAGGAUGCUUCUGCAUUAAUUUAGUAUCAGUGUCAACCAUGUUUAUGCUUUGGCCAUUCUCAUUUCCACUUUCCACUACUCCAAAAAUGUAUUAUCUGCAAUUGAUCAGGUGAAAGUGUUUCAAUUUUCUGUCUUUGGUUCAUCUCAGUUAGUUAGUCUUAAGAGUAAGGGAGAUAAUUCGUUUUUCUUGUUUCAGCUAGAUAUUACUCUCCAUGUCUUGAUUUUUAGUUUUUUAGGGGUGCUUGGUUGGUUUGAAUGCAGGAAACUUUUGCUGGUACACGAUUCAAACAGCUUUCCAUGUCAGGUUUUUCUAUUAUUUUUCUUUAAUAUUUUGGAACAUGUGUAAUUUCUGUAUAUAUUAUUCUUGCCGUUUUCCUUUUUCAUCAUUUAUUUUGAUUUUGGAGAGGGUCUCUUGGUAACUUGACUUUUCUUUUAGUUUUGACUGUUAUCUAAUUGAACUAUUUGAUUAUCAAAUAAUUGUGUUACUUUUUGUUCUAGAUGUUUAUAUUCAUUUUUCCCACUCUUUUAGUUUUGUUAAUGUGUGACAGUCUUUGUUUUUCAUUGAACUAUUGUGUGGCAGUCUUUAUUUAUUGGUUAUCUUUAGUUUCACUAUUGUUCUUUCUUUAAUGUUUUUCUUAGUUUUUAAUAAGUGUGACAAAAUAUGAAUUUAUCUUUUUCUUUGAACAAAUGUGGAAUUUAUUUUUCUUUUAAUGUAGUUGUGUCCCCAAUAAAUUUAUUUUGGCGAUUUAACAAUCCAUAAUGUUGUUUUUCAUUUUUCUGCUGUAUUUUCUUUGGUUCGUUGUUGUGCGAUGUCUAUUUUUGAGACAUUUUUAAUUUAGUUUUAUUUCUUUUAGCUUCCUGCAUCAUAUUGUAUUAUGGAUUUUUUCGAAAAUUUGAGUUUGAUCUUGUUUUCUGGUCCACUGCUGUGCAGUUUUUUUUUAUGAGAUAUUUUUAUUUAGAUUUAUUAUCUUUUAGCUUGUUUUGCAUUUUGCAUUAUAGAUUAUUUUUUAAAAUUUUGAGGUUGUUUUUUUUCUUUGAUCUUUUGUUGCGGUGACAAUUUUAAUUUAGAUUUAUUAUCUUUUAGCUUGCUUGCAUUAUGGAUUGUUAUGAAAUUUUGAGAUGAUGCUUUAUUUUGUUUUUUGGUCCUUUGCUGUGAUGUCUCUCUAUAAGACAUUUUUAAUUUAGGUUUAAUAACUUUUAGCUAGCUUGCAUUGUGGAUUGUUAUGAAAUUUUGAGUUUCUGCUUUCUUUUGAGUUUUGGUGAUGCCUUUUUACGAGACAUUUUUAAUUUAGGUUAAUUUUUUAGGUUGCUUGCAUUUAUGGAUUGUUCUGAAAUUUUGACUUUCUGCUUUUGUUUUUUAUGUCAUUUGUUGUGUGAUAUUCUCUUUAUAAGAUAGAGAUAUUUUUAAUUUAGGUUUACUAUUUUUUAGCCUGCUUGCAUUUGGUAUCAUAUAUGAAUUGUUCUGAAUUUUGAGUUUCUUCUUUUUCAGUCAUUUGUUUGCGAUAACUUUUUAUAAGACAGACAUUAAGAUUUAUUAUUUUUGGACUUGUUUGUAUUUUGUAUCACGGAUUGUGGUUUUUUAAAUUCAGAGGAGGAACUAGAAAUUGUUCUUGUGAUAUGUUAAAAUCUAGUUUACUGCAAAGAAUGAAUUCUAAAACAGAGGGUAUGAAUUCGUCAAUAAUUUUUCUCCAUUUCUGCGUUGAGCAAUGUUUAGCUGAUAUGUUUGUGUAUUCUUUACAUUAGUGCAGCACCACAUGCUAAUUUAGGUGUGAAAUGCUAAUUUAGAUGUGAAACACUUCCAAAGAUGACGAGAAAUCAAAGAUUGUCGUAGUAAAAAACCUCACCAGUUUUUCCUUUCAGGUUUUUCUUUUCUUUUUCUUUAAUAGUUUGGAAUUUUGCUGGUGUGAUUUCUGCUUUUCUCUUAUCAUUUAUUUUGAUUUUGGAGAGCAACUUUGGUAAUGUUAAGGUGAUUUAAGAAAAGUUGGUUGUCCAAGAAUCAAUAUUUUUAUAUUACCUUAAAUCUUCCUAAGACAUGUUGGGUCUUUCUUUGGCCUUUGUUAGUGUCUUCUAUUAAGUCUGUUAGUUUCACUUUAGUUGGGUCUUUUUUUAAUUUUAUUUUAUCUUUUAAAUUCCAAAUCCUACUCAUUUGGUCAUGACGAUUGAAUAAUCAUUGUUAAAUUUAUUUCUUGUUGGGAGUGUAGAUUUUAUUUUCUUUUUGGCCUUUGUUAUUUGCAUCUAUACAGGGGUUCGAAAAAUUCAAACCCUUCCCUCUUUUAUUCGACAUUCUUUUAUUUUUAUUAUGUACUAUUGGAUUGUUAAAAAAAUUGUGUUACUAUUUCUUACAUUCCAUAAAGAACCCUUUCUGAUGGAUUAUUUCUUAUUGAACUGUUUUAAAAUUUUGAGUUUCUUCUUUUUCUUUUUUGGGUCCAUUGUUGGGGGAUGUACAUCUUUAAUUUUUUUUUUUUUUUAUAAGAGAUGAUACAUCUUUAAUUUAGAUUUAUUAUCGUUAGCUUGUUUUGCAUUUUGUAUUAUGUUUUUUGAAAUUUUGAGUUUCUUCUUUUUCUUUCUUUGGUCAUGUGUUGUGCGAUGUUAUUUGCAUUAGGGGUGUUUGGUUGGUUGUUUUUUAGGGGUGUUUUGGUUAGUUAGGCUUAAGAAGCAAGGGCUAGUGAAAGAGAAGCAUUUGAUUGUCCUACAAGUAAUAAGCUUCUCCUCAAUCAUUCAACCAUUUUUUUAGUAAAGAAAGAGGCUUCUCCUUUGGCAACCAAAGUCCGUCCUUGGUCAAUAUAUAUCAAAAUAAAUAAGAUCCAUCUUUGGUAAUUUUUUAAAAAAUUAAAUCUAUAAAUACUCAUUUCAUCUCUAAAAUUAUGUGAUUUGUACUUUCUAAAAUUCCCUCGAUGGUACUAAUACACUCUUAUAUUUGUAUUGUAAUUAUCAUGUCCUUUUUCUAUGGUUUUUUAAAGUUAAUUUAGAUCCUUAUUCGCUCUAGGUAUAAGUUGAAUGGAAGAGUUUUUUAGCCUUGAUAGAUCUUGAGUACCUGAAUCGCCGAUGAAACAGAGGUUAUUUUCUCGGAAAUUCCACGAAUUGUUCAGGUUUGGAUUCUGUAAUUCUGUUGUUCUUUUUUUAUUUUGGAGAGUGUCCUGGGUAAUUUUGAGGAUAUUAUUUUUUGUUUUUUUUCGGCUUGCAUUUAAUCACGCGCGUUGGGGAAUAGACAGGCUUCGGAGAAUGAAUCACCUUUUUAAGGUUUCGCUGGGGAGCGAAUUGGCCAUAAGGCAUCCCUUUCUGUUCAGUCUCUCUCUUGCCUUUUUCAUACUAUAUGGUUGUUGAUAUGGGGUUAUUGAAUGAUUGUUGCUUUUAUUUUCAUAAGAAGUGAUCUUAUAUUUUUGUCUCUCUGUGCAACUUUAAUAUGAGGUUAUUAAGGAAGGAGAUAAAGGAGGAAGAAGGGACGGAGAAAAGGAAGAAAUGACUGGAUUGUUGGGAUGGGUAUGAAGAUGCAGUAGAGCCACCACCUAGGGGCUGUAAGGUCUAAUGGGCAAAUUGAAAGUAAAAAAGAGUGCAUCCAUUCAAGCUAAGAGAGCUUGGGUUCCUAAAUUACUAUUGCUCUGGGUUCUGUUGGUGGCAUUGAUUGGUAUUGUUAAUCUACAAGGGAAUUGAUGGUGUUAACUAAGUUAGAAGAAAGGAAGUUUUGGGCGUAUGUGUGACCGGAGCACAAAGAUGCUUCUGCAUCAAUUUACUGUGAGUGUUAAACUAUGUCCAUGCUUUGGUUAUUCUAUUUUCUACUUUCCACUCCUCUCGAAAUGUAUUAGCAAUUGUUCAUGUAAAUGUGUUUCGAUUUCUGUUUGAUACUUCUCAGUUAGUUAGGCUUAAAAGUAUAGAAAUUAUCUUGAUGUCUUGAUUUUUAGGGUUUUUUUCAGCGGUUUUUGGUUUUUGGUUUUUUUUUUGUUGGAUUUUGGCUAGUUAGGCUUAGAGGUGCAAGGACUUGUGAAAGAGAAGCAUUUGAUUGACCAACGAGUAAUUAGUUUCUCCUCAAGCAUCCCACCACUUUUCUAUUAAAGAAAUACAGGUACGUCUACGCUAUUACUUUUCAUGUCCUUUUACUUAAGAUAUUUAUAUAAAUAUAUAUAAAAAUAAAUAAGAUCCAUCUUUGGUAAUUUUUUUAAAAAUCAAAUCUGUGAAUAUUCAUUUCAUCUCUAAAGUUUUGCGUUUUGUUACUUUUUAAAAUUCCCUCCAUGUUACUAUUACACUCCUAUAUUUGUGUUGUAAUUAUGAUGUCCUUUUUCUAUGGUCUGUUAAAGUUAAUUUAAAUCCUUUCUUGCUCUUGGUUUAUGUUGAAGAAAUGGAAGAGUUUUUUAGCCUUAAUAGAUCUGGAGUACCUUAAUCGCUCUUGCAUUUUGUGAUUCUGUUCUUUUUCUAUUUUGAAGAGUGUCCUGAGUAAUUUUUAGGAUUUUUAUUUUAUAGUUUUUGUCGCUUGCAUUUAAACACGGACUUGGUUGUUGAACUGGGGUUCUUGAAUAAUUGUUGGUUUUGUUUUCUGAAGAAGUGAUCUUAUAUUUGUGUAUCUCUAUGUGCAACUUUAAUAUGGGGUUAUUAAGGAUGGAGAUAAAGGAGGAAGAAUGGAGAGAGAAAAGGCAGAAAUGACUUAAUUGUUGGGAUGAGUAUGACCCCAUGUCUAGUAGUUCCCAAGUAUGAUAUAGGAAGGCAGAGAGUCAAGGCCUUGUCUGACUCUAAUAGAAUUAAGUAGCUAACGCAACACAAUAUUCUUUGCACCUUCAGUCUGUGAAUCUGAGGAGCAAGAGUUUGGCCAGAGGAGCUAGUCUCGUAACUACGGGCGCAGUUCUAGUUCUUUACAAGACAGAUGGGAACUGUAGCUAACAAGUGUGCCCUGAGUGGAUUCCUACCACUACUCUUUCUACUAUAUUGGCAGGACGGGUGCCAAGUUAUUAGUAGCUAGGCAGCUAAGCCAGUAGUAGUUCAGUUCAGGUGCUGUUCCCAAACCUAGUUGACUACGUUGUAGCGUAGCGGUACGGGACAGAAAAAGAAUUGAUAGCGGUACACUGAACACAAAGAAAUUUGAUAGACAUAUGUUGAGAGUUCGACAAGUAGCACUGAAUCUACUAUCAGUAGUGAUUUAUAGAAGUUGACUCGCUUAAACGAAGAGAGUGAACAAAGCAUAGCGGAGUGAAGAGAGAAAUGGUUUCAUUAGAUAGCUCUCUCGAUGUCCUUGUUAUCUUUCCUAGGUAGAUUGUGACUUAUUCAUUCUUUCUCGCUGACUCUAGUUUCCCCGCCGUGGAUCCUUUCUCUGUUAGGCGCUGUAAUUUAGAAUUCAGAAACGUAUCUGUCUUAUUAUCUUUGAGUCAAAGCAAUGUUACAUAUUUAUAUAGAUAAUAAGCUAAACCCUAGAGACUAUGUAAAAUUACAAUAAAGGACAUAUGUAUAUAUAUAUAUAUAUCAUAACACUCCCCCUCAAGUUGGAGCAAAUAUGUCGAUCAUGCCCAACUUGUUGCACAGAUAGCUUAUCCUUGUUCCAUUUAAAGCUUUAGUUAGAAUAUCUCUCAAUUGUUCUCCGGUCUUCACAUAUCCUGUGGACACCAACCCAUCUUGGAUUUUCUCACGAAUGAAGUGACAAUCCACCUCAAUAUGUUUAGUUCGUUCAUGAAAUACUGGAUUAGAUGCAAUAUGAAGUGCAGCUUGAUUAUCACACCAUAAUUUAGCUGGCACGGUAAUACUGAAGCCUAUCUCAGAUAAUAGUUGGUGAAUCCAUACUAUUUCACACACAGAUUGUGCCAUAGCUCUAUAUUCUGACUCAGCACUCGAACGAGAAACAACAUUUUGUUUCUUACUCUUCCAUGAAACUAAGUUUCCACCUACAAAAACACAAUAUCCAGAAGUCGAUCUCCUAUCCUCACGAGACCCCGCCCAAUCAGCAUCAGAAAAACAUUCAACUCUCGUAUGUCCAUGAUCUUUGUAUAGGAUCCCACGUCCAGGAGCAGCUUUUAGAUAACACAAAAUCUGCUCUACUGCAGCCCAAUGAUCCACUGUAGGGGAAGACAUGAAUUGACUUACAACACUUACAGAAUAUGCAAUGUCUGGUCGAGUCACUGUUAAGUAGUUCAACUUCCCAACUAAUCUCCUAUAUCUCUCAGGAUCUUUACAUAAUUCUCCUUCUUUAACAAGUUGCUGAUUUGGCAUCAUUGGAGUGCCACUUGGUUUGGUGCCUAAUUUUCCUGUUUCAGACAACAAAUCAAGUACAUAUUUUCGUUGAGACAAAUAAAUACCUUUCUUGCUUCUCAUCACUUCAAUGCCCAAAAAAUAUUUCAAUUGGCCCAAAUCUUUUGUAUAAAACUGACCCUGAAGGAAAGUUUUGAGAGACGAAAUACCCAAUGCAUCAUUUCCAGUAAUAACAAUAUCAUCAACAUAUACAACUAGUAGAACUAUACCCUUCUCAGAUCGGCGAUAGAAAACUGAAUGAUCAGAUGUACUCUUCUUCAUACCAAAGCAUACAAGGGCUUGACUAAACUUACCAAACCACGCACGAGGACUCUGUUUCAAACCAUACAGAGAUUUUCGAAGGCGACAUACUUUAUCACUCUCCCCCUGAGCAACAAACCCUGGUGGUUGUUCCAUAUAAACUUCCUCUUGAAGAUCACCGUGAAGAAAAGCAUUCUUAAUGUCAAGUUGAUGCAACGACCAUUUAUUGGUAGCAGCCAUGGAAAGAAAUAGGCGAAUGGAAGUUAACUUGGCAACCGGAGAGAAUGUAUCUGAAUAAUCAGUGCCAUAGAUUUGAGCAUAACCUUUGGCAACAAGGCGAGCCUUUAAACGAGCCACUGUUCCAUCAGGAUUCAUCUUGACAGCAAACACCCAUUUACAACCAAUGGCCUUCUUUCCUGCAGGACGAGAUACCAAAUCCCAAGUAUCAUUAUCAUCUAAAGCAGUCAUCUCCUCAAUCAUUGCAUUUUGCCAGCGAGGAUGAGACAAAGCUUCAUGAACAGAGUUAGGAAUAGAUGUGGACUCAAGAGACGUAAUAAACGCAUAUGUGGAGGGAGAUAACUGGUGAUAGGAAAUAAAGGAAGAAACGGGGUAAGUACACUUGCGUUUACCUUUGCGAAGAGCAAUGGGAAGAUCAUCACUUGGCGCUGGAUCACAUGAUGAAGGAAGCAUUGAUGGAGGACAUGAGUCUGAAGGUUGUGGUGGAGGUCGUCGGGAGUAGACUUGAGAAAUCAACGGGCGGGAAGGAGGCACAUCAGUAGACAAGGAUGGUGUGGGAGAGGUAACCUCAUAUAUAAAAAGAUUGUCAUCCUCCCCCUGACACAAACUCGAUGGUGAUGAAGUAAAGGGUGUAUCUUCAAAAAAGACAACAUCAGGCGAAACCAGAUACCUUUUAAGGGUAGGACAAUAACAACGAUAACCCUUUUGAACACGUGAAUAACCCAAGAAGAUACACUUCAAGGAUUUGGGAUCUAACUUAGUAUGAUGAGGACGAACGUCACGAACAAAAGACACAACCAAAUAUCUUAGGAGCAAUAGGAAACAAAUGCUUGGUAGGAAAAAGAACACGAUAGGGAAUCUCACCAUUAAGAACAGAGGAAGACAUUCUAUUAAUCAAAAAACAAGCUGUAGAGACAGCAUCAACCCAAAAGAUUUUUGAAACAUGCAUUUGAAACGAUAAAGCACGGGCAGUUUCAAGUAAAUGCCUAUUUUUUCGCGCAACACCAUUUUGAGAUGGAGUGUCAGCACAGGAAGAUUGAUGAAUAAUGCCAUUUUCACACAAGUAAGAGCCAAGAGAAUGAGAAAAAUAUUCACCCGCAUUAUCAGUACGCAAAGUUUUGAUAGAGACAUUAAAUUGGUUUUUUAUUUCAGUAUGAAAGGCACAAAAAUGAGAUAAUAACUCAGAACGAUUUUUCAUUAAAUAUAACCAAGUUAGACGAGAAUGAUCGUCAACAAAAGUAACAAAAUAACGAAAGCCUGUUUGAGAUACAACUGGACACGGACCCCAAAUAUCAGAAUGAACUAACUCAAAUGGAGCAAUUGCUCGUUUAUCGACUCGAGGACUCGAACUAAGACGAUGAAAUUUCGCAAAUUGACACGAAUCACAAUUUAAAGAGGACAAAGACCUAAAUUCUGGAUAAAGUUUCUUCAACACGAACAAAGAUGGAUGACCUAAACGACAAUGGACUUCAAAAGGAGAGGGAACGACAGGACACGCCACAGCUUGCGAUACUUGAUGAUCAAAGAGAUAAAGGCCUCCUGACUCAUAUCCUCUACCAAUAAUCUUCUUCGUCACACGAUCCUGAAACAAGCAAUAACCAGAAAAGAACAUGACAACACAAUUUAGGUCAUGAGUAAGUUGACUAGUAGAAAUUAAAUUAAAGGAUAAGUUAGGCAAAUGUAACACAGAAGAGAGAAAAUGAUGGGGUAAGGUGAAUAGUGCCAGAGCCAAGAACAGAAGAUGUGGAGCCAUCGGCCAAUGUAACCGAUGGAAAAGGGGCAGGGGACAACGGUCUAGAAAAUAGGUGAGAAUUACCUGUCAUAUGAGCUGUGGCACCAGAGUCUAUGACCCAUUUGGUAGAUGAUGUAAGAAGACACUUUAUAUUACCUGGGGCAACAGUGGAUGCAAUCGGAGUAGAGGAAGAUGACGCUUGUAAUGACUCUUGGUAAUUCUGAAACUUAGCAAACUCAUCUGCCGAAAUAGUAACUGACGCCUCUGGUAUAUCACAUGUGGAGGCUAUCUGAGCAUGUUGAGAUCGUUGACUAUUCUUAUAUAGCAAUUUCCGACAAUCACGUUUCAUAUGGCCUGGCUUACGACAGUAGUUACAAACAAUCUCUACAGACUCUGGUUUUCGAUGAUCAGUACUAUUCCUCUGAGGUGCCCGAGGGUUAUUGUUCUUGCUAAAGAGAGCACUACUGGGUUGAGGAAUAGACACACUAGUCGGAGAGCUUUCAAUGCGAAGGACUCGAGUGAAGGCAUCAUCUAAUGAUGGAAUCUUGGAGUCAGAGAGAAUCUGUGUCUUUGCCAUUCCAAAUUCAGGUAAGAGUCCAUUCAGGAAAAUCAUAACAGCCAUCUUCUCUCGUUGAACUUGUUGAACUUUAACAUCAGGACUAAAAGGUAACAACAAGCCAACUCGGCAAUGAUCUUCUUAAGACGCAUAAAGUAGCUGGUGACAGACUCAGCUUUCUGUUCCGCACGAGAAAAUUGCAUACAAACUUCAAACAUUCUAUGCACUUGCUCUUUACCUGAGUAUAGAAAAUCCAAAAAUUCCAAAAGUUCUUUAACAGACUCACAGUGAUCAACCAAUCCAAUUAUCUCACUCUCAAUUGAAUUCUUGAUCUGAAGAUAUAAACGGGCAUCAUCACGAAGCCAAUCCUUCUUCUGCUUUGCAUCUUUUGGGGGAUCUUCAGUCAUAUGAUCAUCCAUAUCAGUACUUCUCAAAUAAAAUAAAAUUGUCCGACGCCAAUCGUAAUAAUUGGAUCCAUUUAACUUAUGUUCUGUGAUCUUAGAGGCCAAGGGAAUAACGUUGGAGACUACCAAAUUUUUUAUGUCGGCCAUAUUGAAGUCACACGUUGAUUGUAGUCCACUCGAACAAAGAGAAAAUCAAUCCAAACAGCUGCAAAAUUGGAAAAAGACACAAAACCAAUCGUGUAACCUUCGGUUUUCGUCAAACCCGAAUGUUAUUUGAUAGACCCAAUGGUACAGACUGGCAGGAAACAAUGGUUCGAGACAAGCCCAGAAGACAGAAGACAAAUCGGACUUCUCACGCGCUCUCACGCGCCUGUGUGGAUGAAGGUGACGAUGAUUCCGGCGGCGCGUGACGGUCACGCGCGGUGUUUUCCGGCGAUCGGCGAAGACAGACUUGGGCGGACGGAGGUGGUGCUUCUUAUGGUAUGGGCGGUGUCGACAAAUGGUCACCGGAAGGUAACCCAAACUUCAAACCUAAUGGAGGGCUCUGAUACCAUGUAAUUUAGAAUUCAGAAACGUAUCUGUCUUAUUAUUUGUUAAGUCAAAGCAAUGUUACAUAUUUAUAUAGAGAAUAAACUAAACCCUAGAGACUAUGUAAAAUUACAAUAAAGGACAUAUAUUACAUAAUAAUAUAUAUAUAUCAUAACAAGGGCCUCCCCUAUCCUUAUUCAUUGAUCGCUCUCUUUGCCGCGAAUCUCGGCAUGGUGGUUCUUCGCCUCGCAAUAUUCUUUGCUCCUCCUUCCUGGGCUUGAUUGGUACAUCAAGCAUAUCGGCAUUUUGCUUCUUCGGUGUGGUACAUAUAUCUAUCAAUGAAAAGAAAGUAAUAGAAUUCAUUCCCGCGUACUCGCAUAUUGAAUUGCGCCUUCGGACCAUCAAAGAAAGGUCCAGGGUCCGAAGUCCGCUGGAUUUAUCCGGAGUCCAGAGAAUUUAUCCGUAGGACCAUCCAUAUGGAGGGAAGUAGUCCGGAGGAUGUUGGAAUUUUUUGUCCUAAAACUCGUAGUUUAUAAAUCAUAUUCUGUUCAAUAAAGUUGUUAUUGAGAAAUUAAAUAUUAUAAUCUUAAAUCCAAUAAAUCAAGUUCCAAGGCUAUUUUUGAAUAAACUUGAACUUUAUGUGUAAACAUAAACGUGGAUCAAGUUCGAGUAUAUAGCCUAAAUAGUCUAUAGUAUAUGAAAUAAAGGUUGGGUGCCUUAUUUAGGGAAACUAUGGAUGCGGUCCACUUUGUGGUACAAACGAGGUGAUCCUAAUCGUUCAUGUAGAGACAUGAAAGUGAGGGCAUUCUAUGUAAAAUGUUUACAUAAGACUGAACCAUGAAUUAGUUUUUUUUACGUUAUAACACCGUUUACUGUUUAAAACUGACUAUCUCAACAUUUUGACUUUUUACUAAGAAAAGUCAAAGUUUGACUUUUGACUAGAAAUAUCUAAUGACCAUUUUACCCUUGGACUAAGUUAGUGGGAAAAUCCAACAUUUUGUUGGAUAAUCCCACUAACUCUUAGUGGGAUAUGUGGCUAUAUGAGAUAUAGACACCUAGCCCACUAAGUUCCACUAAUUGUUAGUGGAACAUUUGGUGUUGAGAUUUGGCAAAAUGAAUUGCAUGCAUUUUUGCAUGUAAUUAGGUUAUAAAUAGAGGUGUUUUCAAAUGUUGAAGAACUUUUGCCUCUUUUAUCAUUUUCAUCAUCUCAACCAAAUAAAAAAAAAGGAAACCUUCCAAUCCCAUUUUAUCUCCAUUACUUUCUACACCAAAAUUGGGUCCCACAACCCGGUUCUUUGUCUAGAGGAUAGCAGUUGAGUACUAGUGGUGGUCUCGGUUAGAAUUGGUAAGAAGAUAUCAAACCUUUUGAAAGCUUCAAAGGUAAUAUUUCCUAAAACCCUAAUUUGAUUAAUUUAUGGUUACAUGUUAAUUGUGGCAAUUAGGGUAGAAAUUCGAUUUUUUUUCCGCUGUGCAUGACUUAGUUCUAUCAGAGGAUUUAUUCGUAGGACCAUCCGUAAUUAACAGAAAUAGGACUAUCCAUUAUCCUCCGUCCGGAGUCCGCAGGAUACUUAUCCGUAGGACUAUCCGUAAUUAACCGAAGUAGUCCUCCAGAAUUUCUGUAAUUAACCGAACUUUGCACCUCUUGACUAUGAAUCAUAUAUAUUGAUUUUGACCGGAGCAAAGAUCAUUGCCCACGGAGCGGCGCAAAGAAUAUUGCGACCUGUGGAUUCAUUGAGGCGGUGAAGAAUUGCCAUUUUAUGAGCUUGUAAAACCCCUCCGGAGGAGAAGGAUAGGGGAGCAAGGUUCAAAGUGGUUUUCAAAGUCAGAGCUAUCCCUUAUUAUUGAGGGCUUUGACCACCUGGACACUUACCUACUCAGUCGCAAGGAUCAAAGAAUUUGAUUGACAAAGAAUAUUGCGAUUUUACCGAGUCCUUCGUCUCGCAAUAUUCUUUGCGCCUUCGAUGAGUCAGGUUAAUAUGGAUAAGUCCUUCGGACUGAUAGCGUCCAAAAAAUAGGCGAGGGCGGGCGGGCUAUAAGUAGGCCGUUUGCUAUUGCUAUAAGGGCUGCUCGCCUUUAUACGGCUUGGCUUCGCUAUCGCUCAUGACUUGUAUUUGUGGUCGGCCUAAAAAGUAGUCUUCCUACCAUAAAAAAAUGCCUAUUAUCUAGUUCGUUAAGCUUCGCCAAAAGCAAGAUGAGGGCGCUUUGCUUCGUAGACAAGGCUCGUCUAGUACUUGACUUACGAGUUCGUGUAGGACUUCCCCCUCUCUCUAAAGGGGCUUAUGCACAGAACUCCUUGUCUACUAAAGAAGCGUUCGAGCGAGCGAGUUCAGCCUGAAAUUGAGUGGUCUCCCUCCUUUUCCCUCACUGAGAUAUUAUGUCUUUCAUUUCCACUUAAGCUUCCCCGCUUUGAGGGAUUAAUUGAUUGGAUACCCGAGAACCAUAAUCUUUCCUAGGAACUGCUUCUACGACGAUAGGUGUAAAGGCAUGAUUAGUUCCACAAAUCUCACUGCACUGACCAUAGUAAACUCCUUCUCAUUGUACCAAAAUGGAGAUCUGAUUUAAACGACCAGGUACAACAUCACAUUUGACACUUGAGGAAGGUACAACCCAACUAUGAGGUAGAUCAGCAGGUGUUACAAUAAUACGUAGAUGAGUUUUGGCUGGUAGAACCACUCUAUUGUCCACUUCUAAUAAACGUGAUUGACCCAAUUCUAGAUCAUCUUCUGGAAUCGUAUAACUGUCAAAAGUGAGUGACUGUUCAUCGGAACUGUUAUAGUCAGAAUACUCAUAAGUCCGAUACCAUUGAUGUCCAAUAGCUUUGAUAGUCAUGGCUGGAUCUACUACUACCUCGUCCAUUGAGUAUAAGAGAGCAAAGGAUGAUAUAGCAAUGAACACCGGAAUGAUACUAGGAAAAAUGGUCCAAAGAAUCUCGAUAGUAGUUCCAUGAACUAUCCUUUGCGGUAUUUUCUUUUUAGAAUAGUGGAAAUGCCAUAAAGCGCGAACCAAAAUCCGUGAUACGAAAACAAAAAUCAAAAUGAGGAAGAAAAAGAUAUCGUGAUGUAUGUCUAUUAUUCCUUGCAUCAUAGGUGUUGCUGUGUCUUGAGAUCCUAAUUGCCAUGGUUCCGCUGCAUCACAAGGAGCAAUUGUGAGGAAUAGCCAUUUGAGAACAAUCAUUUUCUUUGGUUUAUUCUUUGACUGCUCUGCUCCCCCCCCCAAAAAAAGAGAGACUUGUUCUUGCUCUCCCAAUGAAGGAAGACGGAAAUCGCCGGUUGGGUUGGUCCAACCAAGAAAGGCAUGGGAUGGGCAUUGCUUGGGCCGAGUUAAGUAUGGCUACCUAUUACUCCUCACUGCACACUUGAAAUAUCUCUUGAUACUCCCCCCUCUUUCUUACAACUAGUUGCUGCAUGCUAUCGGAUCUCGAGCAAUGGGAGGUUACAAUUGAGAAUCCACACUCUCAUUACAUUACAUUUUGAUGUCGAAAAGGUCUUUUGGGCAAUGAGCAUUCCUUAUGGGCGUAUCCGUUCUCUAUUUAGAGAAAUUCUUAGAGCGGUGCAGUUUAUGCAUGGCGAAAGGGAGCAUUGGAAGGGUCUUAGCUCCAGAAUAUGAAGACGAAUGAAUAAGGAAGAUCAGAUUCAAGGAAUAAGAGGACAAAGGCUCGAUAGGAGGAAAUGAAUAAGGGGUCCGACGGAGCCUUCGGAGUACUAUAAAGAGGAAAGCCUAGACUGAUCGAUGUUCUUGGUAGGAACAUCCAUAAAUCAGGGGAGGGAGAUCGAGUUUCAAACCUUUAUACACAAAACUGAAACUCAAAAUUCACUUCCUUCCUUCCGCAAGGCCGAUAUCUUUCAUAGCAGGCAAGGAUGAGUCCAUUAGGUUCUUCGAUUGAUUCGGAAAAGAAAUGAGAGACAAGAAAAGAUCUUUGAUGGAGAUGAAAAGGAAGAAUCUCAAAUAGACCAAGAUCCAAUUUCGGGUCAUUUCUUGGUGAACAUGAUCUGCCAUAAUCUCUUCGAUCCCUGAAUUUAUGUGCCAGAAUAAAGAGAGAUUUGGUAGGAAAGUGGAAGAGACCUUGUGGUAUAUAAUAAUGAGAGGGAGUGGGAAAGCUGCUGUAAUUCUUUGGAAAAGCCCGGUUCUCUUUGUCUUCGAGCUUGAAUUCCUCAAUCCACUCUUUCGUUCUUUCAUAUACCUCCCCACCAAUAGAUAGAGACAAAUAGGAAUAACCGAACCACGUCUACAAAAUGCCAGUACCAUGCAGCUGCUUCAAAGCCAACGUGAUGCUCCUUGGUCAGAUGACCAAGAUAUUGGCGAAUACCACAUACGAUCAAGAAAAGAGUACCUAUAAUCACAUGAAAACCAUGAAAGCUAGUUGCUAAGAAAAAGGUAGAACCAUAAAUACUAUCAGAAAUAGUGAAGGGUGCUUGAUAAUAUUCCAUUCCUUGAAAGCUUGUGAAUACUAGAGCCAGUGAAACGGUAGCUACUAAAGCGUAAACAACUCGUUUUUCCUUCCCCGCGAGUAUAGCAUGAUGAGCCCAAGUUACGGCUGCUCCGGAUGAAAGGAGAAUAGGGGUAUUAAGAAAAGGGAUUUCCCGAGGAUCUAAAACCCCAAUCCCUUUUGGGGGCCAAAUACCUCCGAUCUCUACCGUAGGUGCCAAAGAAGAAUGAGAAGAAGCCCGAAAAAAAGCAAAAAGGAACAUAACCUCCGAUACGAUAAAGAGAAUAAAACCAUAUCGAAGUCCUAAUUGUACGACUUUGGUAUGAUGUCCUUCCAACGUGGAUUCACGUAGAACAUCGCGCCACCAUACGAACAUGGUAUAUAGGAGAAAUAUGAGGCCCAAACUGAGAAGUCUUGCACCCCCUUGAAAUGAGUGCAUGUACAUCACACCUCCUACGAUGGUUGCCAAAUGAUAAGAAUGCCUUUGAGAUUCAAUCACAAACCACUUUGCCUCGGUUGUAUGUAAACCCCCCCUUCACCCCCACCCGCUAAAGUGGUAAAGAAGGGCUCUUUGGGGUCUCAUUUUCUUUCUAUCUGACAGGACUAAAAAAUAGGAAGGGAUGGUUCUUUCAUUGCAUUGAUAGAAGUCUAACUAGAAAAAGAUCUUGUUGCUUUGAUCGAGCCCUAGGCUUUCCUUGGAUAGAUCCCUCUAUAUUCCAACUGAUUUAUGGCGUAGAAGGCGGGAAUAGGAAUCACUCAUAUUGCAUUGAGCCUUAACAGUCCGGAGGACUAUCCCGCUCCGUGGGAUUCUUUUAGCCUCACAAUAUUCUUUGCACCUAUCCAUCCACGCAAUAUUCUUUGCACCUUCGCUCCAAAUAAAGUAAUAGCCGCAACUCAAUUCAUUCAGCCUUCGCCUAGAAAUUCACUUUGCGACCCACUCCGUAAGCCCACUACACGAGAAGAAAGAAUAUCCUUAGCUAUUUAUCUUUAUUAUCUCUUCUCUGAGAAUAUCCUCUUAUUCUACUAUUAGAAGAAUAUCCUACUUUCAGUUUCUAGUCAAAGAAAGGUCCAGGCGCAGGCGCAAAGAAUAUUGCGAGGUGCAGUCUAAUGGAUAGGACUGAGGGCUCGACUGAAAGGAGAGAAGGCGCAAUGAAAUAUGCGAGGUCCAUAUUCCGACUGAGGAACUGAAACUUCCGCGUAGUGCUUCCCUUGUUCAUUGAUAGUAAUCCUGAAGUUUCUUCUUGGCAUCAAAAUAGAUCAAUGAAAGAGGACUAAAAAUAAGACGAAAGUACUUAUGACGGCUUUCCUUCCCAACAAAUCUUCGUUCUUAGUUAUUUGAUUCCACUUUCAAACUUUCUGGGAGUUGUCUUCUCCUAGGCUUUCUUCUUUCUGGCAGUCUUCUGCCUUGCCGUAGGGAGUAGGUUCAGGAGAACCAUAACCAUAAAUCAGAGAGACGGAGGCAUCAAUCACGCAAUAUUCUUUGCACCUCUUCCUUUAAGCUAUAUUUUUUAGGCUCCGGAGGCUCAAAGACAGGGAUAUUGUUGAAUACUAUUAGUUCGAGUCGCAGAGAGCAAAGAAUUUUCUCUUAAUGGAACUUAGCGCGGGUUAAUAUGGAUAGGACUGAGGUCUUAAGACUCCUAACUAUUAAUGGAAAGGACCCACGGAGCGGUGCAAAGAAUAUAUAGAAGGGCAGACAGGUCCGGAGGACCUGUCUGUCCUUCGGUCUUAAUACUCCUAACGUCGAAUAAGAAGCUGGAGGCUGGGUCCAGGUGCAAAGAAUAUUGUGUCCAUUAGAUCCAUUGAAUUAGGCGAAGGAUUUUAUCAAGCUUAGCUUUCUGGAUUCUUCGGCGGAGUGGGGCUUUCUCUAGUAGGUCUGGAGGCUCAAAGAAUGAUCAAAGGCUCCGAACCAUAAAGAAGAGAGUCGGAGGACAUCCAUUGACUUUUUCUUCCUUUCACUUCUAACUUCAAACCUUUCAUAUUCAACCUUGAAAAUAAAGGAGGGAGCGGACUACGGAGGCCAUAAGUUUGAGUUCCUCAGAUGUAUAAAAACAAGUCCUCCGGACGACCUAUCCACUGAAAGUAGCUACGUAGUCUUGUCUCCUUCCCCGCGUAGUGGGCAUUGACUUCUUCAUUGAUUUUCUUCUAUCUCCCACGUAGCGGUUGAAUAUGAAAGGAAGCCCACAGAGCUGAAGAUGGAGCGGGAUAAUAAAGAAGAAAGCUCAAAAGGAGGGAGCGGACCUCAAUGAACAAGGGGAGGACUCGUUUUCAUCCUUAUGGAAGAAAAAUCUCUUUUUUUUAUCUAAAAGACGUAGAAGGAGGCUCAAUGUCUAAUCUUUCUCUCAAAUCAAUAUCCCCAGUGCAAAUAUUCCAGCAAUAUUCUCAAUAUGAAAAGAGCCUUUCUUCUUUUCUUAGAUAAAUGCGCUUCGUAGAUUAUGCUGAAGGAGGAGUGGGCCAUGAUCUUUGCUCCUUAAUUUCCCUAAUGGAUAGUCAUCUGGACCUUUCUUUUUAGUUCUUUGCGCUCGUCAACGCAUAUUUCAUUGCGCCUUCGCCUUCAAUGAAAUCCAUAAAUAAAUAAGGGUAGAUUUCAGACUCAAGAGGAGGGUUCCUUAUCAAUAUCAAUGAGACGGAUAGGCUUUCUUUUACAUUCCACAGGUCCGAAGGACUAUCCAUAUUAACAUGUCUGUCCUUCGCCUAACUAGUUCAUAUAGACCUUUGUUUUUCUUCCGCAGUCACUAAUAUGGAUAGUCCGGAGGACCUCCUUCAGCAUAAUCUAUGAAUGAUCGGAGCAAAGAAUAUUGCGGAAAAGAAGAAAGGAGUGCAAGCGAAAAAUAAUGGAUUGAAUAGUCCUUCGGACGAACUACCGCACUUGGGGGAUAUUGUUGAGAAAGAAUAUUGAAAAAGAAUGAUCGAAGAAUAUUGAAAAAGGACGGAGGAUAGGCUUUCUUUGAACAAUGUGGAUGUAUCAAAGAUUCCACAGGUUAAUAUGGUAGAUUUCAGACUAGUCCUUCACCUUGGAUCUGGGGACUAUUCUCUGUUCUAAUAGACAUAGAGGAGAGGUUCAAAGAAUAUUGAGAAUACUCGUGCAAGCGCAAUCAAUGAACAAGGUGAAAAGAAUAAAAAAAAGGCGGUCGAUGAUCAGGAAGAAAAAGUCAAAAGUCUAUCCCAUCUUCUUCGUUAGGCGCAAAGAAGAAAAACAAGGUGCAAAGAUCUAUGGCCCAAUUAUAAGGGGUCCAGAUGCACCAUAAGACUGGUCCGAAGGACUAUCCAUAUUAACCGGAGUCUUCAACAAGAUUUCCAACCCUGAAUAUUAAGCUACUGAGGCCCAAUAUUGCGAAGGAAGAACUGCGCCAUAAGACAGGUCCGAAGGACUAUCCAUUAGGGAAUGAGACGGAGGUAACGUUUGGUUUUUUGGAAAACUUGUUGGUCGCGGAUUAGUGCGUUUUUUUUGGAAAGUAACAAUUCUCUUCAGUUUGGUUUCAGAAAACUUGUUGGUCACGGAUUAGUGCGUUCUGCGCCGCCUGGUGUCACGAACAUAUUUUUCCAAAGUGUGUUUACCUUUGGUUAUAUGCUCCGAUUACCCCCAGUUUAUCUCAUCUUUAGUUUGCAUAACUAGUUUAGCUGAUUGCUUUUCAUUCUAGGUCAUAAAGCUUGGGUGUGACGUUUCGGCAUUUUCAUAUGCAAGCCUGCCAGAGAGGAAAAUGUUCAAAAUGUACUAUAGGGGAGGCAUACCAGUUGAAUCCCCGCCCAAGCAUUAGUUGUACUCUUUGCAAGCAACCCUUUUUCCUUGCAAUUGACAGUCUUUAAUGCUUAUUGUAACGUCUAUUUCAAUGUAUUUCUUUCUUUCCCGUGUUUUAUAAAUAAAAUGUCCCUAAAACGCAAACGAAGGUUACGACAUACAUCGACGUUACCCACAACUCUUGGAUAUUGAUCGACUGACUUGUUCAUCGAGUUAGAACAAGUGCCGCACAAUCGUCCGUCUCGAGGUUGAAACGCUACGAUUGUGACAAGUGGUAUCAGAGCCAAAGUUGGCUGAGUGACAGUUUUGACAAAAAUAAAAUGUCGACUGCAAAACGAGCGAGCAAGACCCAUGAAGAACGGUUGGUGGGGAUCGAAGUGCAGAUGCUCCACCUGAUGGAAGUUCCUGAUUCCAUCCGGUUCUUGGAAUAGCGGCUUGAGGAUAUUGCCAAGAAAGCUGAUGGCAUUGAAGCCGUGUCCGGUCGCCUUGACGGACUACCCAUCCAAGAGUUACUGACUAGAGUCGACACUCUAGAGUCCCGAGUUAUGAGAACGGGAAAUGUCACCUACGAGCGUGGGGACAGUUCAUCGGGCUCUGUUGCCCAGAUGGAAGAACGAGUUAUGGAGCUUGAUAACUCGCAAAAGAACAUGUUGGAGAUGAUCAGCGCAUGACAAAGGAUUUUCGAGCAACCCUCGAUGUCGUGAGGAAUGAGCUCGCAGAGGUAAGCACGAGGGUGAACCUUACUAUGCGAGCACUAGAAAAUCAGGCUCUAGCUGGAGGAGCCAUUCCUGUGGGCAGAAUCAAGAUUCCUGAGCCCAAGCCCUUCUGUGGGGCGAGAGAUGCCAAGGCGUUGGAAAACUUCAUCUUUGAUGUCGAGCAGUAUUUCAAAGCCACGAACACAAUUACUGAAGAGGCCAAGGUGACGUUGGCAACCAUGCAUCUGUCAGAAGAUGCGAAGUUAUGGUGGAGGUCCCGAUACAUGGACAUUCAAGAAGGGCAUUGCACAAUCGACACGUGGGAUGCCCUAAAAGGAGAACUCCGUUCGCAAUUUUCCCUGAGAAUGUCGAAAUUCUGGUCCGACGGAAGCUGCGUGAAUUGAAGCACACGGGGAACAUUCGGGACUACGUGAAACAGAUUGCGGGGGUAAUGUUGGAUAUACGCGACAUGAUCGAAAAAGAUAAAAUAUUCAGCUUUGUUGAAGGGUUGAAGCCAUGGGCAAGGACUAAGCUAUACGAGCAGAAAGUCCAAGACCUCGUGUCAGCCUAUGCAACAGCUGAACGUUUGUUUGAUCUGUCUAAUGACGUUCAAGAGACAAGACAUCAUUGAAGCUCUUCACCUGGAAGAGACAGAAACAGCCGACUGAAUUCUCCCGAAGCUGUCAGUAGAAAUAAAAGUCCCGGCAGAGACCGCAAGCCCUUCCAGUCAAAUACGGGGAACACCAGGCAAAGGCCCACUAGUCAAAGGACCUCCCACACUCCUAUCAGUUGCUACAUUUGUAACAGGCCACAUCGGACAAGGGAAUGUCCGGAUAAAGCGGCCUUCUACGCCUUCCAGGCCUCUCUGGCUACAGACUUAGGUGACAAGUUGGGUCAACCAGAGAAUGAAGGUGGGUAGGUGGAGGAAGUCCAAAACGUUAGAGUAGGGGCCAUAAGACUCUUGUCGUUCCUUCAGAAUAAAGCAGGGGAGACAAGUGGUCGUACAAAAGGGGGCCUAAUAUAUGUGGACACCUGGAUCAACCGAAGGCAUGCAAAGAGCACUAUGGUUGACUUCAGUGCAACCCAUAAUUUUAUAACGGUGGCGGAAGCCAGACGAUUGAACCUUCACUAGAAGAAGGAUACAGGAAAGAUGAAGGCCGUAAAUUCUACAGCUUUACCCGUCGUCGGAGUAGUGAAACGAGCGGUGAUACAGUUGGAAAGAUGGAACGGCCUUGUUGACUUUGUGGUUGUGGGCAUGGAUGACUUUGAUGUAGUUCUCGGAAUGGAAUUCCUUCUUGAACAUCAAGUGAUCAUGAUGCCUGCAGCCAAAUGUCGGUGAUCACGGGAUCUACCCCCACCGUUAUGCAGAUACCCCCACCAUUAUGCAGAUAGAACUCCGGCAACCCAAAGGAUUGAGAAUGGUCUCGGCCAUGCAACUGAGGGAGGGCCAUAUUCAGGAAGACACAAGGCGUGUCGUGGAGAGACGUUGUGAUGGGAAACAGGAUAGUUUGCCCAUGUCAGAAUCGCCUACGAGAAAUGAUCAUCGUAUGGCGCAAUCAAAAUCAUCUGGACUCAGGAGACAGUCAAGGAGACUGUCAGGUGCAGGAUCCACUAGACCUGCGAGAGAUCCGUAUCAAGCACAAGACUUCUUACGGAAGGAAGAGAAUGGACAAUUGUGUGUCAACAACCGUGUCCUAAAGCAAGCCCCGAGGAGAGGGCCAACUUUUGAGUCCGUGAGUGGGACUCAGCCUGUUGAAGCUUACGCUAAGGCAUAUGGUCCUGUGUCAGGUGGCAUCCUAAUGCAGAAUGGACACCCUGUCAAAGCUGAGAGUCAGAAACAAAGUGCCGCAGAAGGUAGUUAUACGAUGUUUGGAAAAGGAAUGCUGACCACGAUACGUAGUCUGAAGGAUGGAAGACAACAUUCCCAGGGGUCUACACAUGGAAGAGAGACGAACAACAUUGCGACCAACCGCUUUGAUACUCGGCCGAAGUGGGCUUUGAGUCAAGAAAAGUGGCAGAGGGACGUGUCAAGGGAAUCCUUGCAGAAAAACUCUGUCAUUGAAGUUGAUGUAAGUCUGGCGGAGACCAGUCAGGUGGAAGAAAAGAAUGGAGUUCAAUUGUGGAAGCUAACCCAAUCUUAUGUUAAUGCUGCAAUGAGUUCGUCAAUGGAUGGAAACCAGUUUGUGGGUGUUUGUGGCGGACAUUCUGUACAGUCCCGCCUUGUUGGUCCCUCCUAUGUUGGUAAGAAUCCUCAAGCUUGCAACAGUACCAAGAGGUGGAAGCUGGAGUCAGACAUCGUUCGGACCGAUCGAGAGGAAGCCUCGAAGUGGCCAGAAAAGUGGGCAGAUAAGAAGCAUCGCCUCCGUGAUUCCCGUGGGGAGACCAGGUCAUCGUCAAACGGCGAUCUGAACUGACUCCGUUUUUGAAGAAGACUUCAAGAUCACCGCCUCAUGAGAGAACGCGAGGGACAAACAGAAGUUCAAGAAGUCCUUGCUAAAGAAGCAAGGAAAGAAGAAGAAGACCCAUGGGGGAUACACAAGUUCGUGGUGAAGCAGAGGAGCCUCCUCAUGGAAGAAGCCUGUGGAAGACGUACCAAGACUGUGAAGCGUGGAGGUAGAAGAUCGAAGGAUUCCAGCUUUGCCAGUCGACGGGGACGUCAACUGUUUAAGUGGGGAGUGUGUCACGGACAUAUUUUUCCAAAGUGUGUUUACCUUUGGUUAUAUGCUCCGAUUACCCCUAGUUUAUCUCAUCUUUAGUUUGCAUAACUAGUUUAGCUGUUUGCUUUUCAUUCUAGGUCAUAAAGCCUUGGUGUGCGUUUCGACAUUUUCAUAUGCAAGCCUGCCAUAGAGGAAAAUGUUCAAAAUGUACUAUAGGGGAGGCAUACCAGUUGAAUCCCCGCCCAAGCAUUAGUUAUACUCUUUGCAAGCAACCCUUUUUCCUUGCAAUUGACAGUCUUUAAUGCUUAUUUUAACGUCUAUUUCAAUGUAUUUCUUUCUUUCCCGCGUUUUAUAAACAAAAUUUCCCUAAAACGCAAACGAAGGUUACGACAUACAUCGACGUUACCCACAACUCUUGGAUAUUGAUCGGCUUACUUGUUCAUCGGUUAGAACAAGUGUCGCACAAUCGUCCGUCUCGAGGUUGAAACGCUACGAUUGUGACACCGACGGCCACAUAGAAUUGAGAAAAGCCUAUGGUUGAGGCAGCAUUAAUUUAUGAAACUUUACACGUGGGAAGGGAUGACUCUUUCUAUUCAAACCUGUAAACAUAGAAGACCGCCUCAAUGAACAAGGGAUCAUUCACAUAGAAUAAAUAUGAACAACGAGAAAGGGAAUAUAAGGUUUGAAUUCAGAGGAAAGCCUAGCUUGAAUGAACAAGGUGAAAAGAAUAUUGACAGCUGCACUUACGAGUCUUUCAGUUACCUUUCUGCCUCUUUAAAGAGAGUUCAAGGUUUUCUAUUAUCGGAAGAAUCAGAAUAAGAAGAAAAUAGAGGAAGACAGAGAGAAGAGAGCUCAGGAGGCGCAAUGAAAUAUGCGUGAGAAGCGCAUUUCCUUAGUGGAAUACUUUGAUAGCGGAAUAAGAAGUCGGAGGCUCGGUCAAGACGAUCUUUUGAUCUAUUCUAAUGGUCUCUAAUGGAUAGUCCUUCGUUUUAGAGUCCUACAGAUAAAUCCUCCGGACUGGUCCGAAGGCUAGGUUCAUACGGAUAGUCAGGAGGACGGUUAGUUGGAGCCUUGUUUUUCGAAAUCUUCUUUGAGCCUCAGUCGUCUCAUUGAUAAGGACAUCUUUGCAAAUGAAGAGCGGGAGGUGCAAAGUGCGGCUAUUACUUUGAAAAGAAUAGGAGCUCCGCGGUUUGAAUUGAAUAAAAAGGAUAGGCUGAAAUUCAAAGUGAAUAAGAGGAUAUUUUCAGAUAUAAUAUCUAAAGUCAAUGAACAGGGGCUCCUAACCUCUGAUUUAUGGGGAGCCUACUACGUCCAUUAGUUCCGAACUUGGCUCCACUCCUAGUAGUUCGAACUUGGCUUUGCUCCUUCGCUUUUUCUCUUAUUGAUCUCUCUUGUAAUGCUUUCUACUAAGAAUCAAGAAAGCGCAACUUCUAUUUUGUCCGAACGACCUUGAUUAAAAAACGAUGCUUCCUUGGUCGUGUAGAACAUGGAUUAGCAUUAUUUCAUUCCUACAAGCGAUCCCCCAUCCAGGAUUGGAAGAAGUGCUAUAUGAGGACUUUGAGAUCAAAUAGAAUAUAUUUCUUUCAAGACCUCGUGAGCCACUUAUUUCUCUGAAACAAGAGAGAAAAGUGAUUUUCCUCCUUUUUCUCAAUAAGUCGACGACCUUACACCAUUGGGAUACUUCUUCUUUGAAACUAGAGUACAUAUAGGAUACACCGGUGCUAAAACCUUUUCUCAAAAGAUCUUCCAAACUGUUGGGGUCCUUGCUCCGUAUGUUCUUCCCCCGGUGUGAAAGCAGUUGGUUCCAUAGUUUGAGAAUUCUACUACUGAUCCCAAGUACUCCAUCUCCAUCAUUGCAUAUGGGAAUAUAGAAAAGUCAAGAAGAAAAGGCAUGAGCAGAAGAAUUGUGUGAAAUAAGUCAAUUUAUCCAAUUGAGGCAUUCUUUCUUUUUCUUAAGAAAAUUCCCUCUAGACAUAAAUCCUUUCUGUACGAGUAGUGAAGAACUAUAGAGAGUAGUGGUUGGUUGUUGACCAACAAAAAGCAUGGGAGAAAGAAAGAUGUUGGCAAGGAAGCAUCAAAAUAGAUCAAUGAAAGAGGCUCAAAGAAUGAUCGAGGACUAUUUUAGUCCGACUAGAAACUAGGGAAACUAAAGACUAACGAAAUCUAGAUGAGAAUCCGUACAAUUAGUCUCGAGAAAAAGAAGAAAGCAAUAAAAAAAGUGAAGACAGAAAAUGAACCGAAAAUCUUCUUCUCUCAUAUUGAAUUCAUCCUUCUACGCAUCUCCAUGGGCUCGACUGAGAGUGGAGGAGAGGACGGGAAGAAUGAGAAAAAUAGUAAGGCGAGAAGACAGGUUCGAAGGACUAUCCAUCAGGGAGUUUGGACCCCGUAGUUAGGAGCAAAGAAUAUUGCGAAAGAGUCAUAAUAGGUACAAAUCUUCUUAUAGAUUAUGUUGAAGGAGGCGGCGCAAUUCAAUAUGCGAAAGUCAUGAUCCCUUUAAAGCAGACGUUAGGCGCAAAGAAAGAAGCUCAUUAACGAGAAUGAAAGAAUAAUUCACUCAUUAACGAGAAUGAAAGAAUAAUUCUGAUUUCAUCACCUUGUUUUUACGGAGUUCAAUACUAGAUUGAAGACGGAGGGAAAUCCCAGAUUUUGCUAGGUUUUGGGCCUAUAAAGUAGCAAGAAAUCAUGAAAAAUCAGUCAAAAUUAGACAAUUAUCGUAGCAUAUCAAUAUGAGAAAAAGUAUGAAAAAGAAGCAAAAAAGUCGGGAAAUAGCAAUUCAAGAAGAAAGCCUAGGACAGGGAAAAGAAAUGAACACUUCUAGUUUGAGUUUAUGGUCCGGAUACUGACAGGUCUAUUCUUUAUUCCGCUCCUGAAUAUGGAUAAUCCUACUUCGGUUAAUUACGGAUAGUCCUCCUUCGGUUAAUUACGGAUGGUCCUACGGAUAAAUCCUCCAGACUACUUCCUUCCAUAUGGAUGGUCCUACUUCGGUUAAUUACGGAUGGUCCUACUUCCAUAUGGAUAGUCCUACGGAUAAGAAUCCUGCGGACUCCGGACUACUUUGGUUAAUUACGGAUGGUCCUACGGAUAAAUCCUCCGGACUCCGGAUAAAUCCUGCGGACUCCGGACGUACGACGUAGGAUAAAUCACCUGGACCUUUCUUUGGCACUACGGACUACUUCGGUUAAUUACGGAUGGUCCUACGAAUAAAUCCUCCAGACUCCGGGUCGUAAGACGUAGGAGAAAUUCCUGCGGACUCCUUCCUUCCAUAUGGAUGGUCCUACGGAUAAAUCCUCCAGACUACUUCAAUUAAUUACGGAUGGUCCUACUUCCAUAUGGAUAGUCCUACUUCAAAUGGAUAGUCCUCCGGAUAAAUCCUGCGGACGUAGGACCCUGGACCUUUCUUUCUUUAAUGGAUAGUCCUCCGGAUAAAUCCUGCGGACGUAGGACCCUGGACCUUUCUUUGGCACUCCGGACGGAUAAAGAAAGGAUAAAUAAAGGCGCAAAGAAUAUUGCGAAGCGAAGCGCAUUUAUCUAAGAAAAGAAGAAAGGAUAAAUAAAGGCGCAAAGAAUAUUGCGAGAGCGGGAAUUACCUUUUCUCUUCGGGUUAGCUAAGAGUUGCCGGAGGCUUGAAGUCGGAUAAUUACUUUUACUUAAAGGUUUCACAAACCUGCAAAAUCUUCUCCAAAUUAGCGUUAGCGUUCUGAGCUAGCCAAGCAGUAUAUUUAAAAUAUAGAAAGAAGAAAAAUCCAUGCAAUCUAAGUACACUAAGAACCUACAGCAUCGUCACCGCUGCGUGGGAAGGUUAAUUCUUCUAACUCUGGUAUUAUCGUUGAACAAGCAGUUCACAUCCGACUGCCCGCGUAGUGGGGGAAGCUCGCUCGCUAACUUUGCACUUCGGCCAAAAUGCCGAAAAAAGGCUAAGGCCGAAGGAGGUCUGACUCCUUCGCUCAAGGAAGAAUUGCCCGAUUGGAUAUAUAUCUUGGUGCGGAGAGAGGAAAGGAUCACGGAAGCCUCAGUCUCAGUACGAAAGGGGCAAAAAGCUGGAAAAAGCAUACUGGCUUCACCUUGCCCUAGGAUGGGGUCCGCCGGAUCUUUUAAGGCAUAGGCUUAAUGCUGAGACGCACGGGGAUAUCCGGUCCAGGAUGGAUAUUCAAGACAAGGACGAAGGCUCUCCGUCACGCAAGAUGAUUACAAGUCUUAGGAGUGAACUUCCGCUUUACCCCUUCCGGUAUCAGGAAGCGAAGGGCAGAGAAAGCGAGCGAGAAAACAUAAAUCAAGGCGGUCGAUGACUUAAAAUAGGCAAAAAGAAAAGACAGAAAGCCUACGGGUUUCUCGGUUUACCCUUCUUUUAGGAUAGAAAAAGGCACUGCCUGUGUGACCACUACAAGCGGACGUGACGAGCGACGCAGGGCCACCCACGACCGCUAGCAAUACGAGGUAAAGCGGCCAGAAAGCAUACCAUAGGAUGCGUCCUGAGGGCAUUCACAUAAACAUUCUUCGAAUUGUUCACAUUCGGCGGGAUGUUCUUAGCCUUGUCUCCAGGUGAAUAAUUGAAUCGGCACCGGCGAUCGGACCUAUUGCAGCCUUCGGUUGACUGGUGGCAUUCGAUGGUAUGCUUGAGGCCUUCCCAACCCGCUCCGUGUAAAAGAGGUAGAAGGAGGCUCAAAGAAUUAUCGAAGAGCAAGACGAAAGAAAAUAGCGACUUCCAGUCGGUGAUGGGAAAUCUCAAUGUUAUCGCAGAUUCAAAGGCGCAAAGAAUAUUGCAUUGAGGCUCGACUGAAAGGAGAGGCGAAUUUGAGAAGAAAGAACUAUAUCGGCUAAAUACUCAACUGCCUCAGACGUCACUGGGACAAGAGCCGGAGAUUCCGAAACCUCUCGCAGCUUCUUUGCUUCCUCUGGUCUCGAUAUUUGAACCGCCUCAAUAAACAAUAAAUAAGGGUCCAAAAAAUCAAGGUCAUCUUCAAACCCUUUUUUUUAUGCGCCUCAGUCCUAUCCAUUAGAACGUCGGCCCUCACCCUUUUUCUUCUUAGUGCGCGCUUGAGCUUUAGUCUUCUGAGUUCUCAAAUUCUUUGACCCUCUGUCUCAGUAUUCGGCAGAGAUGCUGAUGUUAACAAGAAAUGCAGGCUGAAUGUUGUAUGGAAGGAUGAUCAUUUCGGCUUCUUGUAGCCAUUGAUGCUGUCUAAUGCUUGGAGAGACAUUGUUUAAUGUGACUUUGGACAAGGUUACUGAAGAUAGAACUAUCUGGCCUCAGAGGUCAGUUUUCAGUUGCUAAGACAGUGAAGCUCUUUCAUCUUCCUGGUAAUACUGUCCCUUGGUUCAAGCUUCUUUGGGGUAAGAAGCACAUCCCUAGUCAUGCUUUUCUUUCCUGGAUGGCUAUGAAUAAGAGUCUGAGAGUCAAAGCUAAACUGUACAAUCUUUAAGUGCUUUCGUCUGAUUUUGAGGUUUGGAAGCAAAGAAGCAGAGCGGAGUUUGAUUCCUUAUAUCAGAAAAAGAUAUAGGAAGACUCCCAGAAAGAAGAAAGCCUAGGAGAAAGCAAAGAAAGAGUAAGGAUCAGAAAGCUCCUAACCCCUAUUUAUUUAUGGAUGUGAAUUGAGCGAAGGCGCAAAGAAUAUUGCGAAGGUUCAAAGAAUAUUGACUUGAUAAACCUCUAUUUAGCUUCUUAUAUCUGAAGACGAUAAAGUCAGAUAAUCAGCCUCCGGCUGGGUCGGAUCGUCCAUACCUAGUUGAGUAUCUUGUCCGUCAUAACGAAGUCACUCUUUGAAAAAGGGUCGGGCUUUGUUGGAGUUGACUCGGUGAGUACACUUUCAUCUUUACGAGAAGAAGCGCGAACAACAACUAUAUUAUUCAGCAGAGACCUGAUUUACCCGAUGAGUGGAACGGCUCGACAAAAGUCUUAGGACUCGGGACGACGCGCCUCCUUCCUGCUAGAACUCAUAGGUCUACGGGGUUCUUUCGGUAGCGAGAAUAGUGGUCCCAAACGGAAUAGAAGUACUUUUGAUUCACUGAAUCGGAAUCUUUGAAAGAAGAAAGGGGGACGGAGGAUCAAUGAAAUUUGAUGAUGAUGAGUAAGCUCUUGCUUUUCUUGCUCCUCUUUCUGAAGUUGCGAGAGGUUCAAAGAUCCUUAUCAAUGAUUGGAGUGGCUGUUCCGGUUGCAGACGUUGCUGUUGGAGUAGAAGCUGUAGCCCUUUCGGUGAGGUGCGAAUGCUCGACCUCGACCCAUUGGCAUUAGUUGAGGAUGCACCAUCCCUGAUUAUUUUUUAGGAGAAAGCCUCUUUCGUCGGGUUCAAGGGAAAAGACUAAGAAUGAGGUCCCCUCCCCCCAGUUGAGGAACGAGGGCAAAAGCGAAGCCUAUGAAGUGAGUAUGAGCUCGCUCGACCCCCACGUAGCGGGAAUAGCACCAUCUUCUCUCUUUCAUGAGUAGUUCACUGCACUCAUUAGUAGCUGGACCAAGAGGUUAUUCUCUCUAUGAUCUCCUGGACUGGAAUAGCGCUCUCCCCAUAGCAAGAGGGAGCUCGACGUAGUCGGUCUUUCGGCAGUCACAAUAAUUAAGAGAAGCAGCUGCUCGGGAGAGGGAGGUAUCAGAUGCACGAAGAGAGGAUUGGUCGAAUCGACUGUAAGAAGAGGCAUCUGUUCUUGUGGCUGUAGCAGUUGCAGAAGUUGAAUCGUCUGUGGCUGUUCUUGUUUAAGAAAUAGCUGCAGCUAUUCCCACCAAGGCCUGACGAUAGGCUGAUUUCAGGAUUUCCUAUCCAUCCUCAAAUUCUUUGAGCCUUUGUUACAAGAAAAUACUCUUUAGUGACUCAAGAAUGACCCUGUCUUAUGGCACCUCUCAUCUGGAGCCUUUGUUUUUGAAACAAGUCAAAUUCUCUAAUGGAUAGGCCUGAAUUCAUGAAUAUUGAAUUGAACCUACUAAAAUCAAAGGAAUAAAGAAAGAGCUCAAAAGGAGUCAAAAUGAGAAGUCCGAAACCUCAUCACCUACUCCCGGAGGCAAGGUGAAAUUCAAUAUGACGAAGUCUUAUAGUUGGGUCUCAUCCCCCCAUAAUCAAGUAGCGUCCACUAAAAAGAAGCGGAGCGCGGAAGGACGAGGCGCAAUGAAAUAUGCCUUGAAUGAAUCUACCCUUUUUAGACUCGACUACUCCGCUACGUGGGCUUACUAGUAAUGCUGAAGUUUCCUCCUUUUCUAGCUUUCUUUCUAAUGCCCUUCUUUAUGGUCAAUGGUCACUUCCCCGAGGCGCGGAUCCCACUACACGGGAAUAUAUUAUGAUAUAAUGAACUAUCUUCUUUCUAAUAGCUAGUUUCAACAGCCACCGGGGAGGAGACAAGAACUCAAUCUACUGAAACAAGGGUUUCAACCACAGCGAGAGCAGACCUCAAAAAAAUAAGGAAGAAAAAGAUAAAGGCGCGAAGCGAAGCCUAUGAAGUCAUAAGGGCAAGGGCUUUCCGUGAACUUUCUUAUGAUGGGAAAUCCUUGUUUUCAUUUGCGAGACACAUUUCAUUCGUAGAAAUACCACUUCCUACUUCCUCAUCCCGACAAUAAAUAAAGCACUACGCGGGACAAAGUAGAUUCCCAAACUUAAAAGGAAAGACUAAAAUCAAAGCUCCAGAUGAGUUGAAUUGAGGUGCAAUGAAAUAUGCCUUUCUGCAGUGUGCGAAUUCGCUCUUUCGGCUGAUAACCUUUCGAUCCAGAAAGCACUACGCGGAAGUUCCCCACUACGCGGCGUGAAGUGACUGCCCACUUUUUGAAAAGAAAUAAAGAGCGCAGAACAAGGUUCAGUUAAGCUUGAUAAAUCAGUCCUUCGCCUAAGAAUAAGGUGAAAAGAAUAUUGAACUCAUGAAAUCAAUAUCCCUGUCUUAUGGGGCCUUUGUAGCUUAAUAAUGGGGAUCUGGUUCAAUUAUAAGGCUCAAAGAAGAUUGAGAAAGAAUAUUGCAAAAUCAAGGCGGCAAAGAAAAGGUGAAUAGGGAUUCGUACGAUUAGACUUGACUGAGAAUGGAAUUGCUUUAGCUAUCUUUUUUUUUCCGUCUUUCAAGGUGGAAGCUAAAUCAGAAUAGUUUCUAGUUGAAGGCAAGCAAGCUAGGGUUGGUUCGUAUUGACAAAGAGCUGGACUUCUAAACUUUCAAUGGGUACUGGAGUACUUUCUUUGUCAAUCGAUGCUUAAUACUAUCUUUACGCAAAUAAAGGCCGAAGAAUGAGGCUAAGUCUUCUAUUUAGUGGUCUCGCAAUAUUCUUUGCACCUUGCUGAUCUCAUUUCAAAAAUGCUUCGCCUGCCUCUUCUUUGAUUCCGUGCACGAGUAAGUACCCGUAAAUCGUAAAGAAAGAGGGGGGUAGUUACCUGCUCUUUCAUCGAGAUUGGCGAAUUACGGUAGAAGAUAGAAGAGGUUCGAGGAUCAAAGUAUUUGAGCUUUGCUAUUACUUUCAUGCUCCUCUUAGAAGGAAGAUAAGCACGAUAAGCUGGCCUAUAUCAUUGCUUAAUUCAUGCUUUCUUCGUACUUCCGGAAAGAAAUCUCACUCAUUUCAUUCUAUCACAUAAUGAGAACUCUAGAAAAGAAAUUGCUUACUUCAUGCUUUCUUCGUAUUUAUUUAAGGACCCAAUCCAUCUUUUGUCUAUGACGAUCGGUACGAAAGGAAGGCAUGCUCGCAGGGGAUUCUUAUUACUAAUAGAUGAUAAGAUAAUACGAGAAUGAAAGAGGUCGAGCGCCUCACCUCUGAGUCUGAUUGUUGGAAGUAUGAUGACUCCCACUGGUCGUCUUUCAACUCAUUAAAUCCCCCUAUCUUUUAUGGCGGUCUUACCGGAAUAUCUACUUUAUAGAAUUCCUAUGAGACUAAGAAAACAAACUGAGACCUCGUAGUCUUCCUGUUCCCGGUCGAUCCUAUGAUCGAUCUCAUACAAAGAUCUUCUAUGAUUCGACUAAAAAGACUCUUUCUUCUUAGUUUGAGCUUGAGGCGCGUCCAACCCACUACGCGGUAAGCUUUUCCUCUUUUCCUCUCACUUCAAGACUCAAGACCUUACCCGCACCGAGUCAAUCCGAUCGCUACCUUUCCAGGUCGUAUUCUAGUAAUUAAUUUCAUUAAUAACUCAGAGCGGCGAUCUAAAUACUUCUUCAGCAAGAACUUUCGAAGAAGGUAGAGGAACUGAAAUGGAUUCAGCUUCCGCAGGCAGCAUCCCUUUCAACGACGACUCCCCGAGAGACUCGCUUCAAACUUCCGAUUUAGAAAGAAGGUAUCUCAGUCUCUUACCGCGUAGUGGGCUGAUCGUGAGAGAUGGAAUCUUCAACCUCUUAUGGAAAUGUGUCCAGCGGAAGUAUUUACGUAAGAAAUUGAGAACCAGGCGAGAGGAGAGGGGUGAGGAUCGAGCGCAUUCCCUAUCGAUCAGCAUCCUCAACUCUACUUCAAGAGUAGAAAGGUUUCGGAAUUCAGAGGCAAGAGCAUUCCUUCCUCUUUCUUUAGUCAAGUCAUUUCAUUCCUUUUCUCACUAGGUCUAUAGAAAUAGUUCAUGGCCAGGACUAGGUCUCGUCAUAUUCUUUUCUCAAGAGAUGAGAAGAAAGUUCUCCUAAUAGAAUAUGUUUGAAUAUCUCAACUAGAAAGUCUCGGACUAACUCUUCCCAUAGCGUAGCCUACGGAGCGGGGAAAAGGAAGAUUUUCAACAGUCAAGAGAUCAAUCAGAAGGGAGCGGGAAGAAUGGAUAUUGUCUUCGAUCUUGCGAUAAAAUGAGUCAGACCAUAUGCGAUCUCGUCUCAAACAGAGAAUUAGUAAUCUGAGUCGCACGGGGAAUAGGUUGGAUAGUCCGGAGGACGGGAAGACAGAAAGAAAAGAGAGGCUCCGGAGGUUCAAAGAAUAUUGACAAAGAAUAUUUCAUGAAUUGAGGUGCGGUAGUCCGUCCGAAGGACUAUGAAAUCCAUUAGUUUUCGUUUGCACUCCUUUCUUCUUUUCUUAGAUAUUCUGGGAUUGAACUCCGUCUGAAAUCUAGCAGAUUCAUUUUUAGCUUCUUUCAUUCUCGUUAAUGAGCACUUGAACCUGUCUUUCUCAGGCGCAAAAAAUAUUGCGAGAAGAGCAAAGAAGAGAAUGGCGAUCAGAAUUUGAGUCCUUUCAUACUUUCGUUGAGGAGGAGGAGUUUUCUUCUUGUAUCAUAAUAGGAUAUUUUAGUAGAAUAAGAAGAAGAAGAAGAUAAGACUACGUAGCGUAGUGGGCUUUUCUUAUGGCGGAGCGGAGGAUUCCGACUAUCCACUGAAGAAAGUAGGAAAGCCUAAGGAACCUAAAAAGGGCUAAUAGGGGAAGGAAGAAAGCCUAUCCCUCCAGAAUCUUUGAGGACCGAAGGACUUCUUUAUAUCCCUAUUUAUUUAUUUAUGGGACUCCCAGAAAGGUUUAGUUCCAUAAAUCAGUCGGCUAAUAUAUAGGAUGAAAGUAGAUAGAAAGGAAAAGAAAAAAGUCGUCACUCUUAAGGAGUGCAAGAAGGAAUCUUUGAACCUUUUAUCCUGAUCUCUCUCAUUCUACAACUCAGUCGAGCCACUAUUCAACCUUCUUUUCGAUGGGACAUCAUGUCCUCUUAUCUUAAUCCCAUAAAUCAUUUAAGGCGAUACGGAAACAAGAAAUCCAGAAACUUAAUCCGGUAGAGUCAAUUCGAGACUAAGACGAGUUGGGGUUUCGACCAUAGGCUUUCCUUCCAAACCUACUAUACUAAACCUACCCCCGGACUCAAGGCGCGAAGUGAAGCGGCUGCCCACUUUUUAGAAAUAAAGAGCUGAGAUAAUUCUUUUCACUCAUUGAGGUCGGCUAAAUUCAAUGGAUAAAGAAGUCCUUUGCUUCAUUCUAUAUGUCCUUAUCAAUGAGACCAUUAAUCAGUCCGAAGGACUAUCCAAAGAAAAGAAUAUCCCUGUCUUAUGGGGCCUCCGUAGCUUAAUAUGGAGCGCUCCGGACGAGUCUUAACUAAUAUUCCCAAUCAAAGAAUUAUCGAAAGAAUGAUCGACGAGUCUUAUUCCACUAAAAUAGUAGUCCUUCGGAGCAGUCUUAUACUAAUCUCCUAAAAUCAAAGCUCCAGAUGAGUUUCAUUCCACUAAAAGACGAAAGAAGGUAUCUCAGUUACCAAAGAGAAAGAGCUUCCACAAACCACUUCCACAUAAACUUCUGCUAAGUCUACUUCUGUUAUUGAUUCAACUUAGCCUUUAAUCAGAUUAGGACCUAGCUAGCCAACCUUAUUCCUUCCUCUUCCUUACUUUGUUCUCGCUUGCUUCGGCAGGCACACACUAUCUCUGGAUACUGGAUAAGAGAUCCUUUGGUCAAGCUGCAAGAGAAAGACUUCUUCUCCGAUCGAUCAGCUACCCGAUUCCUCCUUCCCCGAUGAUAAGGUUAGCAGGCCCGAUCCUCUCCUAUUGAAAAAGAAAGCAGAAAUCUUUCAGUCUAGAGGAUUUAUCCGUAGCCCGGAGGAUUUAUCCGUAGCCCGGAGGAUUUAUCCGUAGGACCAUCUGUAAUUAACGCGAAGUAGUCUGCAGUCCGGAGUCCGCAGGAUUUAUCCGGAGGACUAUCCAUAUGGAAGUAGGACCAUCCAUAUGGAAGGAAGUAGUCCGCGAGUCCGCAGUCCGCAGGAUUUAUCCGUAGGACUAUCCAUUUUCAGUCGGACUAUCCAUAUGGAAGGGAGCGAAAUCUAGCUAUGAGGACUCUUUGAGCUCUUCUUUGAGUCAGUGGCUCUGCCACUUGCAGAAGGAGCAGCGAAGUCCGCGGUUUCAGAGGUUUAUGUAGCAGUUCUUCUUUAAUAAGAUGCUUACUUUCUUUCGGGUAGAAAGGUUCACUCGUGAACGGUACACCUCUUAUAUGAUGCCUGGGGACUUUGUCCCUUCUUCUACGGAUUUCUCUUAUAUGAUCUUAUUCAUCUCCGUAUCGUUCAUAUAUUCAUUCUAUAAAAUCCCUAGCUGCCACAGAUGGUCGAACUUGCCUCUUAAGUGGCGUGGGUCGAUCCUCUUGUUGACUUUUUACCUAGGAGUGGGGGGGAAGAAGUUCGAGAAUAAUUUAUCUUCUUUCCUUGUCCCAGUUCUUCUUUCCACUUCUACUUAAGUCACCACGACUGAUACAGAUGCAAGAACAUCAGGGCGAGCAGGGAAGAGGCGGAGGGAGUUUGCACUCUUUUCAUGCGGGUUUGAGUGAGACUGAUGCGCCCUAGGUCAAGCCAUUGCUUCGUCUUGUUCAUCACAUUCAUUAUGUUCACAAUUCCGGAAUCAAAGUAGAAAUACGAGAAAGCGCUCCAGCGGACUCUGAUUCAUUGGGAAUUCUAUCUUCCCGCCUCAAUGAACAAGGUGAAAAGAAUAUUAAAUGAAUCAUUGAGUUGAGGCGGUGGAACCUAGGAGUGGGACCGGGAACAUGAUAGGCUUGAAUCUAAGAAGUGAAUAUAGUAUUGAAAGAGGCCCACGGAGCGGUGUCCGACUAUCCUACUAUCGAAGCCUUGAAGCAUGAGUCUUGAGGUUUUCAAAGUCUACUCAGAGGACGAGGUUGAAGUUUCAUAGGGAAAGGUUUCAUAACAAGCAGUUGUUUUCCGUAUCGAAUGCUCUUUCAUUCCUUAUUCGAAAGAAGGCAAAGAAAGUGGAAACUAAAUCCUUGGAUUCUUUCCCGCUUGAACCAUGAAAGGUUAGGCCUUAGUUACGAUCUCAUUCAAUGCCCUAGCAUACUCAAAGGUUCGGGGGCGUAGUGGAUGGAGCUAGAAGACUACUACUUGGACGAGGGAUUUCCUUUCUCUUAUUGUAAUACUCCUAACCACCCCUUUUUGAAUGGGCAGGCCCCUCUGGUCGAGUUUACCCUUUUUAUUCAGGCCUAUCUGCCUCCGUUCAUGAAGGACAAAAUCGGACUGAGCCCUUGUUCAUUGAGGCGUAUAAGCCCACGUAGCGGUGCCAUAAGACAGGUCUGAAGGCGUCACAGGUCCGGAGGACCCGUCUGUCCGAAGGACGAGAUAUUUAUAAUGUUGAGAGAAAGAUUAGACUUUGUCAGGACCCUUAUUUCCAUUAUUUUUCACUUUCAAUAUUCUUGAGAAUAUUCAUUCAUCCGACAGAGCAAAGUUCAUCCAGAUCCCCAUAUGAAUUAGGCGAAUGACUGAUUUUCAAAGUCAGAGUUAUCCCUCAAAUUCUUUGAGCCUUUGCACUCAAAUUCUCUAAUGGAUAGUCCUUCAGACCGCUAGGAGUAAAGAAUAUUGUGUGGAACUGAACUAAUAGGGAAAAGCAUUUCCUAUUGAUUUGUCCCCUGGACUGGACCUAUUCUGAUUCUGAAUUAUCCGUCGCUACGUUGUUCCCAAGGACUAGCAAAAUCGAAAUAGCGAAAUUCUUGGGUCAUCUCAAUGGGUUCAGAAACCACACGUUUCUCUGGAUCAUCACAGCGUACUUCCACAUAUCCACUCAGAGGAAGGUCUUUUUGUAAUGGAUGACCCUCGAAACCAUAAUAUGUUGAUAUACGGCGUAGAUCCGGAUGAUUGAUGGAAGAAACACCAAACAUAUCCCAAACUUCUCGCUCCCACCGGCCGGCUGAUGGAAAUAGACUGACUACCGGAGAGAUUCGUGUUACUUCGUCUGCACUGGUUUGUACACGAAUGCGUGAGUUAUACCGAGUACUCAGUAAAUUAUAGGCCACUUCAAAUCUGAGUUUUCUAUAUAUAUUUAUAUUGAUGUUAAUAUGUUACCUUGUAAUUGGAAUGGUGAUUUGAAUAAUCUAAUAGGAUUAUGUGUUUGGAUCAAAAUAUGUUGCAAGAGAAAUAGCUAAAUGUGUGGAUUUAGUGACAAAGAGGGUAUUCAUGUGUUUAUUUUAGUUUUCUCAGUGAGGACUCGAUUUUUAGAAGAAACGACCACUGUUCGAAUCAUUCAAAACUUUGUUCCGAACAAAAAUUUUGGACUUUGUCAUUGUCCUCUUCACCGAAUGUGACAAACUUGAAGACAACGAUGAAACAUUGAAAGAUUACUUGGAUCGAAAAUGUCUUGUGGGGUUGAAAGAUACCAUAGCCGCUAGCAAGAACUGUUGCUUGGUUUUCAAUAACAAAACCGAUAAUGAAACAAAGAAGAUUGAAUAAGUGGAUAAACUUAUAAAGAUGGUGCAUGAAGUUGUACAACAAAAUGAAGGAAAAGCAUACACUCAUGGCUUGUUUUCUAAUGUCAAGUUUGAGACCAACUUGCAAGAUGAUGUGAAAACCAAGCUUGAACACACAAUUACAGUUCAAAACACAAGCAAAAUUUAAAGCAUAACAAGGAGCACAAGAAGUUCAACAACAAUCUAUGGAUCAAAUUCGAGUCCUCAAAGACCAUCUAUGCAUCAAGACUUGAAAGGUCACUGUCACUACCAAUGCUUCCACAAAUUAUUCGUCAUGGUCGCUGCAUGAGAAAAGGUUGCAUUAUUGUAUGACUUUACUGUGCAUGCAUUCAAUAAAUAUGUACAAGUAAUUAGUAUAAUGAAUAUAUACUAAAUAAAAAUAUGAAAAAACUGUGAAAAAAAACUUAUUUGAUUAACUGCUAUAAAAUUAAUAUUUGAAAAUUGGCAUGUGUUCUCGAAACUAAUAAAAGCAAGUUUGGAAAUGCCUUUAUUUUGUCUUUGUUGAGUGUAGUGUAAAUUGGGAAAUAUAGAAUGCUUAAUUAUGUUGUUAAUUAAUAAGAAAAUUAUUUUAGAAGUUUUGAUGAAUGUCCAACUACAUGUGGAAAGAAUUAUAAAGGAUUGAAAAAUGAUUCUAUAAUCUAGCCCAAACAAGAGGUGGGUUAUUAUAGCUCACUUCACUUCUAUUUAGUUUGGGACCCAAAUAGCCUCUUAAAAUUAGGUUAACUCCAUAACUAAUAAGGGUCUUUAACUCAUAUAGUCUAAAUUGCUAUAUGAUAUUACAUGAAUGAUCCAAAUUACUAAUAAAUUUCAUAAAAGUCCUAAAUGGACUAGUAUAUUACAUAAAUGUAGGCUCAAAUUACUUUAAUACCAAUUUAUAUUAUUUAAUUGAUUUAUAACAAAUAUCUAAAUGAAAAAAACCGUGGGAUAUAGUUUUGGAAAGAAGUGGGGUCCAAAUUAAUUUAAUAUCAACUUCUAUUAUUUAAUUUAAUUGAUUUAUAACAAAUAUCUAAAUGGAAAAAAUGGUGGAACACCGUUUUGGAAAUAAGUGGGGUCCAAAAUAAUUUAAUACAAAUUUUUAUUAUUUAAUUGAUUUAUAACAAAUAUCUAAAUGGAAAAAAUAAAGAGAUACAGUUUUGGAAAGAAGUGGAAAACUUUUCAUGCUUUCCUUCCACGAAAAUGGUUGUCUACUCCUUUCAACGUGGAUUACGAUUUUUACUUCAAAAUUUUAGAGAGUUCGGAGGUGAAGAAGAAGACAGUCGACGACCGACAAAUACAAAACUUCUCGAACAUAAUCUAGUUAAAAACUUUGAAGUUAGUAUUGUAUAUAUUCAACACAUAUGAAACAUUAGAUAUAUUAUGUAUAUUUUAGACAUUCAAUUAAAUAGUCAAUCAAAUGAAAAUGUAGUUUUGAAUGUGAUACAUUUUAGGGUUUAUUGAGAUUUCGGCGGUGAAGAAGAAAACUUUUGAUGGCCAAAAAAUACAAAACUUAUCCGACAGAAUCUAACUAGAAAAUUUGUGCUUAAUAUUAUAUAUAUUCAAAACAAAUGAUUAGAAACAUUUAGUAUAUUAGGUAUAUUUUAAAUAUUCGAUUAAAUAGACAAACAAAUGAAAAUAUAUGAAACAUUUGGUAUAUUAGGUAUAUUUUAAAUAUUUGAUUAAAUAGACAAACAAAUGAAAAAUUAGUUUUGAAUGUGAUACAUUCUAGAGUUUAUUAAGAAUUCAACGUUGAAAAAGAACGGUCAUCCUAUCAAAAAAAUAAUAGAACUAUAUAUAUAAUAUGAGGUAUAUAUAUAUAAAACAUAGAACAUAACUAUUAUAGAUUACGGAUAUAUUAAAGUAUAAUGUAAUCAAAUACAUUUAUAAAGGAAAAAUAUGUAUGUAUGAUCAUGUCGUUUACUACCGUUUUAGUAAUAUUUAUUCUACAAACACAAAUUCUGUAGGAAUUAUGUAUAAGGUAUUAUUGUAUAUAAUAUGAGGUAUAUAUAUACUAAAUAACAUGUAUGAAUUAAGUGUACAUUUUAUUAGUGAAAGGUUCUUAUAUCAAUUUGUUUAUGAUUUUUAUUUAAAUAUUCAUAUAUUAUGUAGUAAGUAAUACGUUAUGUUUGAAAUAAUAUUGAUUAUGUAUUAAAGUUGCCAUUAGACAGUUUUUUAACAAAAUAUACCUAUUAUAUUAAUAUAGAAAAUGGGAGGAAAUCGUGCAACAUUAAAAUAGGAAACUUCUUUACCAUUUUCUCACUUUCCAUAUUCAACGAAAAGCUUGCCAUUUCGACAGUCAAUGACAUAUACAACAUAUUAUAUAAUGCGAUAAUAUUAUAAAACUAGUAUAAUCAUAAAUAAGAUGUGAUAUAUAUUUAAGGGAAAUAUUAAAAAACUGAUAAAUUCAUAAUAGAAUAACGUUAAAAUAAGGAGAAUAUUGUUAAUAUAAUAUAUAUACGCAUAUGAUAUACUCAUAAUGAACUAAUUUUAAAUGGGUAAAAUAACAAAUGACAUAUUUAUGUUAUUCUUCAUAUAAAACAUCAACUAAAAUAAUAAAGUAUUAUAUCUCACGGUUAAUAUAUAAAACUAUUAUAAAUGUAAACAAGAUGUGAUAUAUAUAUAUAAUAAAUCACAUAUACAACCUAUUAUAUCAUGCGAUAAUAUUUAAAACUAGUAUAAUCAUAAAUAGUAUGUGAUAUAUGUUUAAAGGGAAUAUUAAAAAACUGGUAAAAUCAAAAUAGAAUAACAUUAAAAUAAGAGGAAUAUUGUUUAUAUAUACUAUAUCUCAUAUAUAUACUCAGAAUGAACUAAUUUUAAAUGGGCAAAAUAACAAAUGACUGUGGAUUUUAUCUUAUCUUUAGGUGAUGGACAAUUGUAUAUGACGGCGAUUUGUUAAGAUUCUGCAGCUUACGGUUAUGAUAAAUUUGAAUACAAAUUUAUAAAACAAUGUAAUAAGAAGUUCAAAUGAUGGAGAAGAAUAGCAAAAAACAGUUGUCGGCGAUGGAGAAGAUAAUGUAAUGGCUGCCAGAGAGAGUGAACAAUUAGGUUAAGUUAUAUUUUUAGAAAGAAUAAUUAAAUAGUUUAUUACAAAAUAAAGUAAAAUUACAAUUAUUAUAAUAUAUUCUGAUUUAUAAUUAAUUUAAAAGAUACUUGAAAUUUAUUAACAUAUUAAGGUCUUUUGUCUAAAAGUUUCAACUAAUAAUAAUGAUAGUUGUAAAGCCCCAAAGGUAAAAAAAAAAAAUGUAUAUUUUACAUUUUCUUUUUAUAUAUUUUUAUAUAUAUAUUUUAUUUUAUUAAUUUAAAUAAAAAGAAAUGAAAAAGAAAAUCCUUAUUUAUAUAUUUUUUCUUUUCUUUUCUUUUUUUUUCUCUCUUCUUCUUCCUCCGUGCGCCGCGACCCCCACCCGUCCUCUUCUCCUUCCCGUUCGCAUCAAUCGCCGCCCCAUCCGUUCUCUUCUCUUUCGUUCGCAGCAGCCGUCGGCCGCCGCGUCUCCCCUACUGAAGCCGAGCGCCGCGACCAUUCCUUUCUCCUCUUCUCUUCAGUUCGCAAAGCAGCUGUACGCGUCCAAAUCUGUCGUCGUCCAGAUCUGCACCGCAAGACCUUCCGUCGUUGCGACCGUUGCUCUUUCUCCGCUGCCCAGCCGUCUCAGCCGGUUCUGUCUCCGUCGAAGCCACGGUUCUGCAACCGUCUCCGCCGGUUCUGUCUUCGUCGAAGCUAAGGCCCCCGCGUGAACCAGUAACCGCUACGCUCUCCGCUCACAACCGCCGCUCCACUUGCUAUCGACGUCGGUCGACUAGUUGCUGUAACCGUUCAGAUUUGCUGUAACCGUUCAGAUUCGCGGUCUGUUCGCGACGGUCUCCAUCCGUGAAGCCCAGCCGCCACGUUCCCUUUGGCCGACCGCUGACCGACCCACACUUAGGAUUUUGCUGCAAGUUCGACAGUCGUGCGUUGAGGUGUUGGGAGUAACGUUAGGCUCCCUUGCAUUCACAACCAGUUUGUGAGUUGUUGAGGGUUCAGUUCGCCAAUAUAUCGGUGAGUUGGAACUUACGUUGAGGAAAGUAAGUGAGAUAUGUAUCGUGAAAGUAAUUGAAUUUUGUGUUGUUGUGCUUAGGAUUGUUUCGAGGACGUUAGUUGAUUAAGGAGCUUCCCCAACUUUGAGGUAAGGGAUUUUCUACUGGACUCAAUUGUGAUUGUGAACUGUGAUUGUGAACUGCAUGUGUGUUGAAUGUAUACUGUGGGCUAACUGAAAAUAUAUAUGAAUGUAUAUGAAUUGAAGUAGACUUGACGUCAAAUGUAUAUCGUGAUUGUCAUGGAAUCUAUAUAUAAAUGUGUGUGUGUGGACAGGACGGAGAUUGUAGAUUGUGUUUGUAUGAGAUGCAGAUGUGAAUCUUGUGAUUUUCGUUUAGAUUGGGUGUAUGAUUACGCUAAAGUAUGACUGUGUGCUGGUGAACUGAGGGGUGCAUUGACUGUAUAGUGGAUUGACUGUAUAGUGGAUUGACUGAUGUAUUAGCAUAUUAUUGACAGACAUAUGACUGUAGUAAAAUAAGUUGACUGUUAGGAUGUUGAAAGAAAGAACUUUGUGACUUGAAGUAACUGAAAGAUGGGUUGAAUGGAAUGAGGGGAUAAAUUGUUAGAUUGUAUUGGGAUGUUUACCUUGUAGGUGUCCCACGGGAUCACCAAUUUAUUGUGCACCUUCAAGAGCAUUUGACUGAUAUGUGUUUCUGCAGAACACUAGACUGAUAUGUACGUCCCUCGGGGCGUUAGACUGAUAUGUACGUCCCUCGGGGCGUUAAACUGAGAUCUGUAUCCUACGGGAUCACAAGACUGCGAAUGUACAGAGUGUCCCAAUAGAACUUUAACAAUUUACUUUCCCCUGACGAGACCAGUAGAGGGUCUCUUACUGAGUAUUGUUAUACUCACCCUUCUUAUGUUUAAUUUUCAGGCAAAGGUAAUAAAGGCGGCAAACCGGCGAAGGGCAGGAAGGAAGCGUGAUUGACAUAGGAAAUGUGUCAUUUUGCUUCCGCUUAUGGUUUCUUUUGAGGUUUAAGAUGUACUAAAACUUAGUUUACAAACUUUUAUUUGUAAAUAGUGUUAUUUUUAAGUUUUCUUGAACAUUUGAAAAUCAGGCCUGACAUAAAUUGUUUUUAAAUUGACUUACGUUUCAUUUUGUAUCAACCAAAGUCUUUUGUUAAAAAUUAACGACCUCGACUUACCUAGAAAAGUUGGGUCGUUACAAUAGUUCUCAUUAACCAAUUGACAAAUGAAUGAUAUUGUCAAAUGAUCGAUAUUGUCAAAUGAUCGAUAUGUGCAAGUGCACAUUUCAAUUAUAUUAUAGUAAAACGUUCUUAGAGAUCGAGCUAGUAUCCUUUUAAGAGGGAUCAAAUUAACAAAUUAAUUUAUUGAUUUUAGGAUUAGGAUGUGUUUUAAGGAUAAAAACAAUGAUUAGAAACUAAUUAACUACAAGUUGUUGACUUUUGAAAAGAAUAUCUUUCCAUUCAAACAUAAUUGUUCCUAAUCUCUUCCAACUAAGUUAAAUAUUAUGGUAUUAAACAGAUACAUAGUUUGGUUGGUAGUUUCUCUUCAAAAUUAUUAUUUUGAGAAAACAAAUACAAUUUCUUUUUAUGUAAUCCAAUAUCCUCAAGUAUAUUUAUAAAUAUGGAAAUAUUAUUUCCAUAUUAGAAGAGAUACUAAAAGAUCUUAUUACAACAUCAUUAGAGUCCCAUCAUUUUCUCUAAAUAUCUCUUUUGUGGUGAAAGAUUUGGAAUUGCACAUCAAUCAUUUUGGAGUGGGUAAUUGAUCACCCUAUUUUUCAAAAAAUAAGAAAGAUAAAAAAUAGUUAUUUUUUUAAAGAUAUAUUUGAAAGUGUUGAGUUUAUGGAAGGUAUUAGUACUUAUACAACCACGAAACAUUUGAUUUUUGUUAUCUAAAUUAUUUUAAUAAAAAUGUUUUUUUUUUUUUUUGAAGUUUAUGCUUAUUAAAAAUGCUUAUUUAAAAAAUGUUAAUGAAAUUUUAAAAAAUAAAAUCUAAUUAAACACUUCUGAGAUAGAGAGGUUUCCCUUGACUACCCGAGCGUAGAUAAACACUUCUGAGAUUUGGUUGGUAAUCCUAAGUUCGUGUGCAGUUGAUUAUUUUUUAAAUUUUGUAUAGUUGAAUAAUAUUUGAAUUUUAAAUUUUCAUCUAUGUGAUAUUUACUCAUUUCAAACUUUUUGAAUAUGCAUGUUUAUUUAUUAUUCUGUCGUCUCUCUAUUGUAUUUUAAAAUAUAGAAUAUGUGUAUUUAUAUUAUUUGAAAUUGAAAAUUUAACUUUUACUCUUAGAGUAGGCUUUAACUCUUUGUUUGUCCGUGUUGUAGGUGAGCGAGAAGGAAAAGUUCCAUUGUUUGAUUGAAUUGGAAUUGUUUCCUGCAUGGGGUGUCAUACAUAAUUCCACUUAUUACUAGUUGAAGGUCUUCUUUGCCUCUGUCUUCUUCCCCAUCUCCCCAAGUUGUUCUAACCUUUUUAUAUCUACCUAUUACAUGUCAAAAGGUUCGCUCUUCAAUGUUUUGAAACAAGUUCAUUAUGAAAAUCUCUCACAAGCAAACGUAUGUGCAUUAUGAAUAAUUUCAUCUCAAAAAAAUUGUUUGAGAGGUUUCAAAAGUGUAUCGAAACUAAUAAUUUUAAUGAAUAAAAAAAUAAUUCUUCGUUAGAUUCUUACAUUUUAUUUCAACGAACAAAAUUUAGGAAAAUUUUUAAAAAUAGCAAAUUUUACAAAAAUAUUUACAAUUUAUAACAAAUUUAUAGUCAUUGAUAUGAUAUAACGAUAGUUACUAAUAAAUAUUUUAAUUUAUUUUGUUAUUUUUAAAAAUGCUCAUAAAAUAUUAUAGUGAGGGAACAAUGAUGAAUCACAUAGUUCUUGUGGUGAUGUCGCUUUUUCUCCCUCUUUACAUUCUAAAAUCUCAAAUACAAAUCAUAAAACAAGUAGAUAUACAUUCAAUUAGCAUGAUUUUGAUUCUAAUAAAUUAGAAAGACAAAAAUAACUAACUAAUUAUGGAAAAGUAAUAUUUUAACAUGAAUUAUUGAUUUUUAAUUAGAGGUAAUUUUAAAAUAAAUAAAAUAAAAGAAAAUAUUACAAAUCAAAUCUAAACUAACUUUGAUUUUACUUCUUUAAUUGCAAUAUAACAUAGAUACAUUGGCUAUGAAGUGCAAUUUCUUAUAUUAUAAUAUUUAAAAGAUUUAAAUUUAAAAAUAAAAAUAAGUAAUCUCAAGUCCAAUAUUGGACCCGUGGGCUUAGCCCAUCAAUUUAAAAAUUCAAAAUGCACACUCAACCGUCACAUUUUCCUAGGAUCAUCCUAUUUAAUGCCCUUCUACUUGUCAACUCCAUCGAAAUCCUUCAUUUCUUGUGGCACCGUCUAAAAUUUGCUUCGAUUGAAGAAAUUUUGACGCCCAUGACAGCGUUGAAAUUUCUUCAAUGCAAACAAAUUUUUUAUCUUCCUUUCAUCGAGGAUUUUCAUACCAUGUGAAGGAGAGAUCAGUUCCAUCCGUUCCAAGUCGUUCGUGAGUCAUCUUCUUUCCUGUGUAGUUUUCAUCUCUUGAUUUUGGAUUGCUUGUUCAAGAUUUAUUUUCGAAUUUUGGAUUGUUUGCUAUUCGGAUAGGCAGAAGGUUUGCACGAUGAUAGAUCUGGAGUACCUGAAUCGUUUAUUGAUUCUGUAGUUUAAUCUUAUGAUUUUGGUGAUUUCGAAGCGUACAAUAUAAUCGUACUGUGUUAUGAAGUAAAUAAGAUUUUGUAGGGUUUUUGAAAGUUAAUUUAGAUAUUUCCUGCAUUUUAGUCUUGAUAGAUCUGGGGUACCUGAACCGUUCAGGUUUGCAUGCUGUGAUUGUGUUGUUCUUUUUUGAUUUUGGAGAGAGUCCUUGGGUAAUUUUGAGGAUUGUUCUUUUUUUAGUUUUUUUUUGCAUGCAUUCAAACACACGCAUGGUUUUUAAACUGGGGUUCUUGAAUAUUUGUUGGUUUUCUCGAAUAUUUGCCGGUUUUUUUUUCUCAGAAGAAUUGAUCUUAUAUUUGUGUAUCUCUCUGUGCAACUUUAAUAUAAAGUUAUUAAGGAAGAAGAGAAAGGAGGAAGAAGGGAGAGAGAAAAGGUAGAAACGACCUAAUAGUAGGCAUGAGUAUUAAGAUGCAGCAGAGCCACCACUUAGUGGCGCUAAGGUUUAAUGAGCAAAUUGACAGUAGAAAAGGGUCCACAUCCAUACCUAAGUUACUAUUGCUCUGGGUUCUGUUGGUGGCAUUCAUUAGUAUGUUAAACUACAAAGAAAUGGAUGGGUGGGUGUUAACAAAGUUAGAAGAAAGUAAGUUCUGGGAAGUAUGUGUGACCAGACGACAAAGAUGUUUCUUAGUGUCAGUGUCAAACUAUGUCCAGGCUUUGGCCAUUCUCAUUUCCAUUUUCCAGUACUUCAAAAUCGUAUCAGCAAUUGAUCAGGAAAAUGUGUUUCGAUUUCUGUCUUUUAUUAGUCUCGGUUAGUUAGGCUUAAGAGUAAGGGAUAUAAUUCAUUUUUCUUGUUUCAGCUAGAAAUUACGUCGAUGUCUUGAUUUUUAGUUUUUUUAGGGCUGUUUGGUUGUUUUUUUAGGGGUGUUUGGUUAGUUAGGCCUAAGAAGUAAGGGCUAGUGAAAGAGAAGCAUUUGAUUGUCCUACAAGUAUCUGAAUCGCCAAUGAAAGCAGAGGUUAUUUCCUCUGAAUUUCCACGAAUUGUUCAGGUUUGGAUUCUGUGAUUGUGUUGUUCUGUUGUUCUCUUCUUUAUUUUGGAGUGUUCUAGGAAAUUUUGAGGUUUGUUAUUUUUUAGUUUUUUUGGCUUGCCUUUAAUCACGCUCGUUUGGGAAUAGACAGGCUUCAGAGAAUGAAUCUCCUUUUUAAGGGUUCGUUGGGGAGCGAAGUGACCAUAUGGCAUCCCUUUCUGCACCUGCUCAGUCUCUCUCUUGCCUUUUUCAUACUACAUAUUUUUGUUUCUCAAUUUAGUGUCAGUGUCAACCAUGUCUAUGCUUUGGCCAUUCUCAUUUCCACUUUCCACUACUCUAAAAAUGUAUCUGCAAUUGAUCAGGUAAAAGUGUUUCAAUUUUCUGUCUUUGGUUCAUCUCCGUUAGUUAGUCUUAAGAGUAAGGGAGAUAAUUCGUUUUUCUUGUUUCCCUCCAUGUAUUGAUUUUUAGUUUUUUAGGGAUGCUUGGUUGGUUUGAAUGCACGAAACAUUUGCUGGUACACGAUUCAAACAGCUUGCCCAGUCAUGUUUUUCUAUUUUUUUUUAAUAUUUUGGAAUUUUGCAUGUGUGAUUUCUGUAUAUAUUAUUCUUGCCCUUUUCCUUUAUCAUCAUUUAUUUUGAUUUUGGAGAGGUCUCUUGGUUAUUUGUUAUUUGCACAUAUACAAGGGUUGAAAAUUUCAAUCCCACCUCUCUUUUAUAUUACAUUCAUUUAGUUUUGGCUGUUAUCUAAUUGAACUAUUUGAUCAUCAAAUAAUUGUGUUACCUUUUCUUCUAGAUGUUUAGAUUCAUUUUUCUCACUCUUUUAGUUUUCUUAAUGUGUGACAGUCUUUGUUUUUUAUUGAACUAUUGUGUGGCAGUCUUUAUUUAUUGGUUAUCUUUAGUUUCACUAUUGUUCUUUUUUUAAUGUUUUCUUAGUUUUUAAUAAGUGUGACAAAAUAUGAAUUAAUUUUUUUCUUUGAACAAAUGUGGAAUUUAUUUUCUUUUAAUGUAGUUGUGUCCCCAAUAAAUUUAUUUUGGCGAUUUAACAAUCCAUCAUGUUCUUUUUCAUUUUUCUGUUGUAUUUUCUUCGGUUCUUUGUUGUGGUAUGUCUAUUUUUGAGACAUUCUUAAUUUAGUUUUAUUUCUUUUAGCUUCCUGCAUCAUUUUGUAUUAUGGAUUGUUAUGAAAUUUUGAGAUUAUGCUUUAUUUUGUUUUUUGGUCCUUUGCUGUGAUGUCUUUUGAUUAUUUAUUUUGAGUGAACAGUUCAUGUAAGAUUUUCUGCAUGAGAAUAAAUUGAUUAUUUAAUUUGGUCAAAGAAGUUCAAAAUUUACAUGUGAAAUUUACACUCAGUGGCUGUAAGGUUUAAUGAGAAAAUUGGAAGUAGAAAAGAGUCCACAUUAAUUCAUUCAGCCAAGAGGGCUUGGCAUCCUAAGUUUGCUCUGGGUUCUGUUGGUGGCAUUCAUCAAUAUGUUAAUCUAUUAGGGAAUGUAUGGUUAUAACAAAGUAAGAAGAAUGGAAGUUCUGGGGGAGUAUUUGUGACAAGAGGGCAAGGAUGCUUCUGCAUCAAUUUAGUGUUAGUCAAUCAUGUCUAUGCUUUGGCCCUUCUCAUUCCACUUUCCACUACUACAAAAAUGUAUCUGCAAUUGAUCAUGUAAAAGUGUUUCAAUUUUCUGUCUUAGGUUCAUCUCAGUUAGUUAGUCUUAAGAGUAAGGGAGAUAAUUCAUUUUUCUUGUUUCAGCUAGAUGUUACCCUCCAUGUCCUGAUUUUUAAUUUGGCUUCCUAAGUGUGCUCUAGGUUCUGUUGGUGGCAUUCAUCAGUAUGUUAAUCUACAGGUGAAUCUAUAGUUAUAACAUAGUAAGAAGAAUGGAAGUUCUUGGGGAGUCUUUAUGUGUGACGGUCUUUGUUUUUCAUUGAACUAUUGUGUGGCAGUCUUUAUUUAUUGGUUAUCUUUAGUUUCACUAUUGUUCUUUCUUUAAUGUUUUUCUUAGUUUUUAAUAAGUGUGACAAAAUAUGAAAUUAUCUUUUUCUUUGAACAAAUGUGGAAUUUAUUUUUCUUUUAAUGUAGUUGUGUCCCCAAUAAAUUUAUUUUGGCGAUUUAACAAUCCAUAAUGUUGUUUUUCAUUUUUCUGCUGUAUUUUCUUUGGUUCGUUGUUGUGCGAUGUCUAUUUUUGAGACAUUUUUAAUUUAGUUUUAUUUCUUUUAGCUUCCUGCAUCAUAUUGUAUUAUGGAUUUUUUCGAAAAUUUGAGUUUGAUCUUGUUUUCCUGGUCCACUGCUGUGCAGUUUUUUUUUAUGAGAUAUUUUUAUUUAGAUUUAUUAUCUUUUAGCUUGUUUUGCAUUUUGCAUUAUAGAUUAUUUUUUAAAAUUUUGAGGUUGUUUUUUUUCUUUGAUCUUUUGUUGCGGUGACAAUUUUAAUUUAGAUUUAUUAUCUUUUAGCUUGCUUGCAUUAUGGAUUGUUAUGAAAUUUUGAGAUGAUGCUUUAUUUUGUUUUUUGGUCCUUUGCUGUGAUGUCUCUCUAUAAGACAUUUUUAAUUUAGGUUUAAUAACUUUUAGCUAGCUUGCAUUGUGGAUUGUUAUGAAAUUUUGAGUUUCUGCUUUCUUUUGAGUUUUGGUGAUGCCUUUUUACGAGACAUUUUUUAAUUUAGGUUAAUUUUUUAGGUUGCUUGCAUUUAUGGAUUGUUCUGAAAUUUUGACUUUCUGCUUUUGUUUUUUAUGUCAUUUGUUGUGUGAUAUUCUCUUUAUAAGAUAGAGAUAUUUUUAAUUUAGGUUUACUAUUUUUUAGCCUGCUUGCAUUUGGUAUCAUAUAUGAAUUGUUCUGAAUUUUGAGUUUCUACUUUUUCAGUCAUUUUUUUAGGGCUGUUUGGUUGUUUUUUUAGGGGUGUUUUGGUUAGUUAGGCUUAAGAAGCAAGGGCUAGUGAAAGAGAAGCAUUUGAUUGUCCUACAAGUAAUAAGCUUCUCCUCAAUCAUUCAACCAUUUUUUUAGUAAAGAAAGAGGCUUCUCCUCUGGCAACCAAAGUCCGUCCCUCGUUAACAGGUAAGUCUACCUCAUUACUUUUUAUGUCCUUUUAAUUAAGAUAUUUGGGUCAAUAUAUAUCAAAAUAAAUAAGAUCCAUCUUUGGUAAUUUUUAAAAAAAUUAAAUCUAUAAAUACUCAUUUCAUCUCUAAAAUUAUGUGAUUUGUACUUUCUAAAAUUCCCUCGAUGGUACUAAUACACUCUUAUAUUUGUAUUGUAAUUAUCAUGUCCUUUUUCUAUGGUUUUUUAAAGUUAAUUUAGAUCCUUAUUCGCUCUAGGUAUAAGUUGAAUGGAAGAGUUUUUUAGCCUUGAUGGAUCUUGAGUACCUGAAUCGCCGAUGAAACAGAGGUUAUUUUCUCGAAAAUUCCACGAAUUGUUCAGGUUUGGAUUCUGUAAUUCUGUUGUUCUUUUUUGAUUUUGGAGAGUGUCCUGGGUAAUUUUGAGGAUAUUAUUUUUUUGUUUUUUCGGCUUGCAUUUAAUCACGUGCGUUGGGGAAUAGACAGGCUUCGGAGAAUGAAUCACCUUUUUAAGGUUUCGCUGGGGAGCGAAUUGGCCAUAAGGCAUCCCUUUCUGUUCAGUCUCUCUCUUGCCUUUUUCAUACUAUAUGGUUGUUUGAUCUGGGGUUAUUGAAUGAUUGUUGCUUUUAUUUUCAUAAGAAGUGAUCUUAUAUUUUUGUCUCUCUGUGCAACUUUAAUUUGAGGUUAUUAAGGAAGGAGAUAAAGGAGGAAGAAGGGACGGAGAAAAGGAAGAAAUGACUGGAUUGUUGGGAUGGGUAUGAAGAUGCAGUAGAGCCACCACCUAGGUAAGGUCUAAUGGGCAAAUUGAAAGUAAAAAAGAGUGCACAUCCAUUCAAGCUAAGAGAGCUUGGGUUCCUAAAUUACUACUGCUCUAGGUUCUGUUGGUGGCAUUGAUUGGUAUUGUUAAUCUACAAGGGAAUUGAUGGUGUUAACAAAGUUAGAAGAAAGGAAGUUUUGGGCGUAUGUGUGACCGGAGCACAAAGAUGCUUCUGCAUCAAUUUACUGUCAGUGUUAAACUAUGUCCAUGCUUUGGUUUAUUUUCUAUUUUCUACUUUCCACUCCUCUCGAAAUGUAUCAGCAAUUGUUCAUGUAAAUGUGUUUCGAUUUCUGUUUGAUACUUCUCAGUUAGUUAGGCUUAAAAGUAUGAGAGAUAAUUCAUUUCUCGUCUCAUAUAGAAAUUAUCUUGAUGUCUUGAUUUUUAGGGUUUUUUUCAGCGGUUUUUGGUUUUUUUUUUUUUUUUUUUGGAUUUUGGCUAGUUAGGCUUAGAGGUGCAAGGACUUGUGAAAGAGAAGCAUUUGAUUGACCAACGAGUAAUUAGUUUCUCCUCAAGCAUCCCACCACUUUUCUAUUAAAGAAAUACAGGUACGUCUACGCUAUUACUUUUCAUGUCCUUUUACUUAAGAUAUUUAUAUAAAUAUAUAUAAAAAUAAAUAAGAUCCAUCUUUGGUAAUUUUUUUUAAAAUCAAAUCUGUGAAUAUUCAUUUCAUCUCUAAAGUUUUGCGUUUUGUUACUUUUUAAAAUUCCCUCCAUGUUACUAUUACACUCCUAUAUUUGUGUUGUAAUUAUGAUGUCCUUUUUCUAUGGUCUGUUAAAGUUAAUUUAAAUCCUUUUUUGCUCUUGGUUUAUGUUGAAGAAAUGGAAGAGUUUUUUAGCCUUAAUAGAUCUGGAGUACCUUAAUCGCUCUUGCAUUUUGUGAUUCUGUUCUUUUUCUAUUUUGAAGAGUGUCCUGAGUAAUUUUUAGGAUUUUUAUUUUAUAGUUUUUGUCGCUUGCAUUUAAACACGAACUUGGUUGUUGAACUGGGAUUCUUGAAUAAUUGUUGGUUUUGUUUUCUGAAGAAGUGAUCUUAUAUUUGUGUAUCUCUAUGUGCAACUUUAAUAUGGGGUUAUUAAGGAUGGAGAUAAAGGAGGAAGAAUGGAGAGAGAAAAGGCAGAAAUGACUUAAUUGUUGGGAUGAGUAUGACCCCAUGUCUAGUAGUUCCCAAGUAUGAUAUAGGAAGGCAGAGAGUCAAGGCCUUGUCUGACUCUAAUAGAAGUAAGUAGCUAACGCAACGCAAUAUUCUUUGCACCUUCAGUCUGUGAAUCUGAGGAGCAAGAGUUUGGCCAGAGGAGCUAGUCUCGUAACUGCGGGCGCAGUUCUAGUUCUUUACAAGACAGAUGGGAACUGUAGCUAACAAGUGUGCCCUGAGUGGAAUCCUACCACUACUCUUUCUACUAUAUUGGCAGGACGGGUGCCAAGUUAUUAGUAGCUAGGCAGCUAAGCCAGUAGUAGUUCAGUUCAGGUGCUGUUCUCAAACCUAGUUGACUACGUUGUAGCGUAGCGGUACGGGACAGAAAAAGAAUUGAUAGCGGUACACUGAACACAAAGAAAUUUGAUAGACAUAUGUUGAGAGUUCGACAAGUAGCACUGAAUCUACUAUCAGUAGUGAUUUAUAGAAGUUGACUCGCUUAAACGAAGAGAGUGAACAAAGCAUAGCGGAGUGAAGAGAGAAAUGGUUUCAUUAGAUAGCUCUCUCGAUGUCCUUGUUAUCUUUCCUAGGUAGAUUGUGACUUAUUCAUUCUUUCUCGCUGACUCUAGUUUCCCCGCCGUGGAUCCUUUCUCGGUUAGGGCUGUAAUUUAGAAUUCAGAAACGUAUCUGUCUUAUUAUCUUUGAGUCAAAGCAAUGUUACAUAUUUAUAUAGAGAAUAAACUAAACCCUAGAGACUAUGUAAAAUUACAAUAAAGGACAUAUGUGUAUAUAUAUAUAUAUAUCAUAACACUCCCCCUCAAGCUGGAGCAAAUAUGUCGAUCAUGCCCAGCUUGUUGCACAGAUAGCUUAUCCUUGUUCCAUUUAAAGCUUUAGUUAGAAUAUCUCCCAAUUGUUCUCCGGUCUUCACAUAUCCUGUGGACACCAACCCAUCUUGGAUUUUCUCACGAAUGAAGUGACAAUCCACCUCAAUAUGUUUAGUUCGUUCAUGAAAUACUGGAUUAGAUGCAAUAUGAAGUGCAGCUUGAUUAUCACACCAUAAUUUAGCUGGCACGGUAAUACUGAAGCCUAUCUCAGAUAAUAGUUGGUGAAUCCAUACUAUUUCACACACAGAUUGUGCCAUAGCUCUAUAUUCUGACUCAGCACUCGAACGAGAAACAACAUUUUGUUUCUUACUCUUCCAUGAAACUAAGUUUCCACCUACAAAAACACAAUAUCCAGAAGUCGAUCUCCUAUCCUCACGAGACCCCGCCCAAUCAGCAUCAGAAAAACAUUCAACUCUCGUAUGUCCAUGAUCUUUGUAUAGGAUCCCACGUCCAGGAGCAGCUUUUAGAUAACACAAAAUCUGCUCUACUGCAGCCCAAUGAUCCACUGUAGGGGAAGACAUGAAUUGACUUACAACACUUACAGAAUAUGCAAUGUCUGGUCGAGUCACUGUUAAGUAGUUCAACUUCCCAACUAAUCUCCUAUAUCUCUCAGGAUCUUUACAUAAUUCUCCUUCUUUAACAAGUUGCUGAUUUGGCAUCAUUGGAGUGCCACUUGGUUUGGCGCCUAAUUUUCCUGUUUCAGACAACAAAUCAAGUACAUAUUUUCGUUGAGACAAAUAAAUACCUUUCUUGCUUCUCAUCACUUCAAUGCCCAAAAAAUAUUUCAAUUGGCCCAAAUCUUUUGUAUAAAACUGACCCUGAAGGAAAGUUUUGAGAGACGAAAUACCCAAUGCAUCAUUUCCAGUAAUAACAAUAUCAUCAACAUAUACAACUAGUAGAACUAUACCCUUCUCAGAUCGGCGAUAGAAAACUGAAUGAUCAGAUGUACUCUUCUUCAUACCAAAGCAUACAAGGGCUGACUAAACUUACCAAACCACGCACGAGGACUCUGUUUCAAACCAUACAGAGAUUUUCGAAGGCGACAUACUUUAUCACUCUCCCCCUGAGCAACAAACCCUGGUGGUUGUUCCAUAUAAACUUCCUCUUGAAGAUCACCGUGAAGAAAAGCAUUCUUAAUGUCAAGUUGAUGCAACGACCAUUUAUUGGUAGCAGCCAUGGAAAGAAAUAGGCGAAUGGAAGUUAACUUGGCAACCGGAGAGAAUGUAUCUGAAUAAUCAGUGCCAUAGAUUUGAGCAUAACCUUUGGCAACAAGGCGAGCCUUUAAACGAGCCACUGUUCCAUCAGGAUUCAUCUUGACAGCAAACACCCAUUUACAACCAAUGGCCUUCUUUCCUGCAGGACGAGAUACCAAAUCCCAAGUAUCAUUAUCAUCUAAAGCAGUCAUCUCCUCAAUCAUUGCAUUUUGCCAGCGAGGAUGAGACAAAGCUUCAUGAACAGAGUUAGGAAUAGAUGUGGACUCAAGAGACGUAAUAAACGCAUAUGUGGAGGGAGAUAACUGGUGAUAGGAAAUAAAGGAAGAAACGGGGUAAGUACACUUGCGUUUACCUUUGCGAAGAGCAAUGGGAAGAUCAUCACUUGGCGCUGGAUCACAUGAUGAAGGAAGCAUUGAUGGAGGACAUGAGUCUGAAGGUUGUGGUGGAGGUCGUCGGGAGUAGACUUGAGAAAUCAACGGGCGGGAAGGAGGCACAUCAGUAGACAAGGAUGGUGUGGGAGAGGUAACCUCAUAUAUAAAAAGAUUGUCAUCCUCCCCCUGACACAAACUCGAUGGUGAUGAAGUAAAGGGUGUAUCUUCAAAAAAGACAACAUCAGGCGAAACCAGAUACCUUUUAAGGGUAGGACAAUAACAACGAUAACCCUUUUGAACACGUGAAUAACCCAAGAAGAUACACUUCAAGGAUUUGGGAUCUAACUUAGUAUGAUGAGGACGAACGUCACGAACAAAACAGACACAACCAAAUAUCUUAGGAGCAAUAGGAAACAAAUGCUUGGUAGGAAAAAGAACACGAUAGGGAAUCUCACCAUUAAGAACAGAGGAAGACAUUCUAUUAAUCAAAAAACAAGCUGUAGAGACAGCAUCAACCCAAAAGAUUUUUUAAACAUGCAUUUGAAACGAUAAAGCACGGGUAGUUUCAAGUAAAUGCCUAUUUUUCCGCUCUGCAACACCAUUUUGAGAUGGAGUGUCAGCACAGGAAGAUUGAUGAAUAAUGCCAUUUUCACACAAGUAAGAGCCAAGAGAAUGAGAAAAAUAUUCACCCGCAUUAUCAGUACGCAAAGUUUUGAUAGAGACAUUAAAUUGGUUUUUUAUUUCAGUAUGAAAGGCACAAAAAUGAGAUAAUAACUCAGAACGAUUUUUCAUUAAAUAUAACCAAGUUAGACGAGAAUGAUCGUCAACAAAAGUAACAAAAUAACGAAAGCCUGUUUGAGAUACAACUGGACACGGACCCCAAAUAUCAGAAUGAACUAACUCAAAUGGAGCAAUUGCUCGUUUAUCGACUCGAGGACUCGAACUAAGACGAUGAAAUUUCGCAAAUUGACACGAAUCACAAUUUAAAGAGGACAAAGACCUAAAUUCUGGAUAAAGUUUCUUCAACACGAACAAAGAUGGAUGACCUAAACGACAAUGGACUUCAAAAGGAGAGGGAACGACAGGACACGCCACAGCUUGCGAUACUUGAUGAUCAAAGAGAUAAAGGCCUCCUGACUCAUAUCCUCUACCAAUAAUCUUCUUCGUCACACGAUCCUGAAACAAGCAAUAACCAGAAAAGAACAUGACAACACAAUUUAGGUAGGUCAUGAGUAAGUUGACUAGUAGAAAUUAAAUUAAAGGAUAAGUUAGGCAAAUGUAACACAGAAGAGAGUGAAAAUGAUGGGGUAAGGUGAAUAGUGCCAGAGCCAAGAACAGAAGAUGUGGAGCCAUCGGCCAAUGUAACCGAUGGAAAAGGGGCAGGGGACAACGGUCUAGAAAAUAGGUGAGAAUUACCUGUCAUAUGAGCUGUGGCACCAGAGUCUAUGACCCAUUUGGUAGAUGAUGUAAGAAGACACUUUAUAUUACCUGGGGCAACAGUGGAUGCAAUCAGAGUAGAGGAAGAUGACGCUUGUAAUGACUCUUGGUAAUUCUGAAACUUAGCAAACUCAUCUGCCGAAAUAGUAACUGACGCCUCUGGUAUAUCACAUGUGGAGGCUAUCUGAGCAUGUUGAGAUCGUUGACUAUUCUUAUAUAGCAAUUUCUGACAAUCACGUUUCAUAUGGCCUGGCUUACGACAGUAGUUACAAACAAUCUCUACAGACUCUGGUUUUCGAUGAUCAGUACUAUUCCUCUGAGGUGCCCGAGGGUUAUUGUUAUUGUUCUUGCUAAAGAGAGCACUACUGGGUUGAGGAAUAGACACACUAGUCGGAGAGCUUUCAAUGCGAAGGACUCGAGUGAAGGCAUCAUCUAAUGAUGGAAUCUUGGAGUCAGAGAGAAUCUGUGUCUUUGCCAUUCCAAAUUCAGGUAAGAGUCCAUUCAGGAAAAUCAUAACAGCCAUCUUCUCUCGUUGAACUUGUUGAACUUUAACAUCAGGACUAAAAGGUAACAACAAGCCAAGCUCGACAAUGAUCUUCUUAAGCCGCAUAAAGUAGCUGGUGACAGACUCAGCUUUCUGUUCCGCACGAGAAAAUUGCAUACAAACUUCAAACAUUCUAUGCACUUGCUCUUUACCUGAGUAUAGAAAAUCCAAAAAUUCCAAAAGUUCUUUAACAGACUCACAGUGAUCAACCAAUCCAAUUAUCUCACUCUCAAUUGAAUUCUUGAUCUGAAGAUAUAAACGGGCAUCAUCACGAAGCCAAUCCUUCUUCUGCUUUGCAUCUUUUGGGAGAUCGAGUUUCAAACCUUUAUACACAAAAUUGAAACUCAAAAUUCACUUCCUUCCUUCCGCAAGGCCGAUAUCUUUCAUAGCAAGCAAGGAUGAGUCCAUUAGGUUCUUCGAUUGAUUCGGAAAAGAAAUGAGAGACAAGAAAAGAUCUUUGAUGGAGAUGAAAAGGAAGAAUCUCAAAUAGACCAAGAUCCAAUUUCGGGUCAUUUCUUGGUGAACAUGAUCUGCCAUAAUCUCUUCGAUCCCUGAAUUUAUGUGCCAGAAUAAAGAGAGAUUUGGUAGGAAAGUGGAAGAGACCUUGUGGUAUAUAAUAAUGAGAGGGAGUGGGAAAGCUGCUGUAAUUCUUUGGAAAAGCCCGGUUCUUUUUGUCUUCGAGCUUGAAUUCCUCAAUCCACUCUUUCGUUCUUUCAUAUACCUCCCCACCAAUAGAUAGAGACAAAUAGGAAUAACCGAACCACGUCUACAAAAUGCCAGUACCAUGCAGCUGCUUCAAAGCCAAUGUGAUGCUCCUUGGUCGGAUGACCUAGAUAUUGGCGAAUACCACAUACGAUCAAGAAAAGAGUACCUAUAAUCACAUGAAAACCAUGAAAGCCAGUUGCUAAGAAAAAGGUAGAACCAUAAAUACUAUCCGAAAUAGUGAAGGGUGCUUGAUAAUAUUCCAUUCCUUGAAAGCCUGUGAAUACUAGAGCCAGUGAAACGGUAGCUACUAAAGCGUAAACAGCUCGUUUUUCCUUCCCCGCGAGUAUAGCAUGAUGAGCCCAAGUUACGGCUGCUCCGGAUGAAAGGUGAAUAGGGGUGUUAAGAAAAGGGAUUUCCCGAGGAUCUAAAACCCCAAUCCCUUUUGGGGGCCAAAUAUCUCUGAUCUCUACCGUAGGUGCCAAAGAAGAAUGAGAAGAAGCCCGAAAGAAGCAAAAAGGAACAUAACCUUCGAUACGAUAAAGAGAAUAAAACCAUAUCGAAGUCCUAUUUUUACGACUUUGGUAUGAUGUCCUUCCAACGUGGAUUCACGUAGAACAUCGCGCCACCAUACGAACAUGGUAUAUAGGAGAAAUAUGAGGCCCAAACUGAGAAGUCUUGCACCCCCUUGAAAUGAGUGCAUGUACAUCACACCUCCUACGGUGGUUGCCAAAUGAUAAGAAUGCCUCUGAGAUUCAAUCAUAAACCACUUUGCCUCGGUUGUAUGUAAACCCCCCCUUCACCCCCACCCGCUAAAGUGGUAAAGAAGGGCUCUUUGGGGUCUCAUUUUCUUUCUAUCUGACAGGACUCAAAAAUAGGAAGGGAUGGUUCUUUCAUUGCAUUGAUAGAAGUCUAACUAGAAAAAGAUCUCGUUGCUUUGACCGAGCCCUAGGCUUUCCUUGGAUAGAGCCCUCUAUAUUCCGACUGAUUUAUGGCGUAGAAGGCGGGAAUAGGAAUCACUCAUAUUGCAUUGAGCCUUAACAGUCCGGAGGACUAUCCCGCUCCGUGGGAUUCUUUGAGCCUCACAAUAUUCUUUGCACCUAUCCAUCCACGGCAAUAUUCUUUGCACCUUCGCUCCAAAUAAAGUAAUAGCCGCAACUCAAUUCAUUUCAGCCUUCGCCUAGAAAUUCACUUUGCGACCCACUCUGUAAGCCCACUACACGAGAAGAAAGAAUAUCCUUAGCUAUUUAUCUUUAUUAUCUCUUCUCUGAGAAUAUCCUCUUAUUCUACUAUUAGAAGAAUAUCCUACUUUCAGUUUCUAGUCAAAGAAAGGUCCAGGCGCAGGCGCAAAGAAUAUUGCGAG